rnacentral:lncRNA from 1 species
UCCGAUGAGAUAAUUUUUCAUUCAAAAGAUAUAUAAAAAUACUUUCAUAUAAAAAUAUAAUUAUUUGAAAAUAUUAAAAAGAAAAAGAAAGUAAAUAAAUAAAGCAACUGUACUCACACUCAUGCUUAAGAUCAAAGUCUCGACACAACAACAAAAGCCUUAUGGAUUUACUUACAAAAGGUAGGCACAAAAAUUGCAAGUGAAAAGACUCGAUUAUCUUGUUGCUUAUUUUGUUGCUUGAUGUUAGAAUGUGUUCGUUUAUUCCAAAGUAUGACCAGAAAUUAAUAAGAUUAUUUGGUCCAUUCACGUUCUACAAGCCAAAUUCAAAAUGUGUAGAUUUCGAUUACAUAAAUGACAUAAUGAAAAUAAUUUGCUGCACAUUUUAGUGUACAUAUUUAGAUGAGAUCAUUCUCUAUGUUUAAUAUCUAGCAUUAUGGUUACAUUAAAUGUUACUUACUUGUGUGAGAUAUUCAAGAUCAGAGCACGGUGCUUACAAUUUAUCAACCUAUUAAAGGAUGAAGGGAAAAAUAAAUAAAGAUUAGAAUGUGUUUUUGUAGUAAAUUUCGUCAAAUAUUUGUGUGUAUAAAUAUUAAUUAUAAUGAUUGUGUGUAUGAACAUUAAUUAUAAUGAUUAUGAAUGAUGUUUAAUUUAUAUUGAAUAUGUUUUUAAAAUUUAAGUUAUUUAGAUUAUAUAGAGAAUUAUUUAAAUAAAAAUAAAAAAUUAUUUUAUUAAUAAUAAUAAAUAUUAUUAAAAAUAUAAAUAAUUUUUCAAUAAAUUUACUAUGAACUUUCAUAAAAUAAUCUUAAUAUUUCUUGUGAAUUUGGGAUUAUUUUUAUUUAAAUAGUUUUAAUAUUUUUGAUAAAUUUUCGAAGGCCAUAUUUUAUCAUUAAGUUUUCAAUAAAUUAGUAAUAAAUUAGUUAUUGGAUAAAUUCUGCUAACUUUUCAGAUGGAAUGAUAAGUCGAAAAUCUGUAAAAAUAACAAACACCCCUGAAUUCUUAACUUCUAAGUCAAAAAAUCUAAGAUUCUAAAUCACAUUCUUGAAAUGAAAAAUCUGAUGAGAAGCCAAAAAGAGUGUCUUUUACACCAUCAAAGGAUGUCAUCAGAGGUUCAGAUUUAGAAACAGGAUUGUUUCUUCCAAACUUUUAUUCCCUUCCAGAACAUCAAGUAUCUGCAAUUUGCAUGAAAAUAAAGGGUAAGGGUUAGCAAUCCAAAUGACCAAAUUGAGAGAAGAACAGAACAUGUCGAGGUCUACGCUGUGGAAUUAUAUUUUUGCAGAAUUACCUGACUCAUUCGUGGCCUACGUUGUGGAUCAUCAUCUACACAAGCUAAAACACAGGCAACCAUUCGAUCCAUUUGUUCAGUGUUGUACUUCUGUAAUUUCUUAUCAACAAAAUCGAACUUGUCCUUUCCUUCCAACAGACUUUGUGAGAGCAGUGGCUUAGCCUGAAUAUUCAUGCAUGAAAUUAAUCAAAAUUAGGAUUGCCAUUAUACACUUAAAUUGCAAUUAUAGAAUAGCCUACGUACCCAUUUAACCAUGUUCUUGUGACCACUGAAAUGACCAACUGGUUGUUUCCGGGUAAUCAACUCCAAAAGAAUUACACCAAAGGAAUAAAUGUCAAGCUUAUCAGUCAACUUGCUAGUAGAUUGAUACUCAGGAGCCAUAUAUCUGCAUUUGGAGUUGGAUUAAUAAGUGAAAGUGUAUUCUAACUUUCUUUUAAUUUGUUUCUUCUUCCUAAUCCCAAGUCCCCAAAUGCCUAUCUCAUAGCUUUAAUGCAACAAAAAUAUAGAAAAUUUAUUUACCCGGAAUUUUGCAUAAUUUUGCUGAUAGAGAGAUGAGUAACAGAAUCCGGGAAAAUCUUGGCACUUCCAAAUUCUGCAAGCUGAACAUAAUAUUGAGAUUUAAUUAGUUUAACGGCGUUAAGAUGUCUGUAUAAGUUAAAGCUUCAAAAUAAUUUUUGUUGAAUCUUUUGGCAAAAUAUUACUGAGCAAAAUUUUAAUGUAUAAUAUUCCUUACCUUUGGUAUAAAUUUAUCACAAAGAAGAAUGUUAUCGGACUUGACAUACAAAUGUAAAAUUCUGUGUCCACCUGAAAAAAAAAACAACAAUCUCAACAAAAAAUAAAUAAAUAAAUAAAUAAGCUUCCAGACAAAGAAUACGGACUGUCUUCAUGCAUAUAUUUUAAUCCUCUGGCCGAGCCUUUGGCGAUUUCCAUUCUACUUGUCCAGUCUAUAGUUGAUCCUCCAUUUUCUGCAAUAUUAUGAUACCUUUAAGACCAGUAGAAUCUUUGUUGUUGAAAAUUAAAUUUAUUAAGGUGAAAAAGGCUCACCAUGUAAAUGAAAUUUCAAGGAAUUGUUGGCUACAAACUCAAAAACAAGCAGUCUAUUGUCUUCCUCAUCACUGCAGUAUCCAAUUAGAUUAACAAUAUUUCGAUGAUUAACAUUGCUAAUGGCCAUAAUCUCCUUCUCGAAUUCUUGUUUAUUCUGUUGAGAGAACUCGUACAUAAGUCUCUUAAUUGCCACCUUACUUUGAUCAAUACCUGGAAGCACUCCCUCAUAGACUGGACACAAGCCAUGCUGUCGAAGAAGGUGUUUUCCUGAGAAACUAUCAGCUGCCUUGGCUAGAAAACCAAAAUCAAAUUUCUUCAGCAAUGAAGGACGCUCCAGUUCCAGUUCAUUUGGCUUUCGAGAUCCAGACUCAACAUCUGGAUUACAGAAGAAAUGGGGUAAUUUAUACUAAUGCUAUAUAUAAUAAACAAAAAAGAAAAAGAAUUACAUUCUGCAAAUAUUUCUUCGUGGGAGAGUGUUACCUUCCACAGCCCAUAAUUCACUGGGAGACAUGUUUCCUUCAAGAGCUUCAACUAUCUGCAUUGAAUAAGGUGAACCAUUGAUUAUGCAAUCUUCCGAAUUCUCAAAUUUUAAAUGCUUUGAAAGACAGACAAUUUGUGGAAAAUAAUGUUUGAUUUGCAAAUUUUUAUUACCUGUUUCAUUCUUGGUCGAAGUUUAGCAGGUCGAUAUACACUAGCAGCAGCACAACAAAUCAUUAUUUCUAUUUCUUUUUCGUCGUAAUGUCCUUUCAAUGUGGAAUCAACAAGACUACUGUAAUUGAUUUCGACUGAAUCUCCUUUGAUCAUCAAAGGCUUUGCCUGAGACAAAACAAGUAGUAGACAAGUUUUCUCUAAUUUUUUAAUAUGUAAAAUAUUAUAUUUGCACCGUCACAGAGAAGUAUCUUACCCACUUCACAAUAUCAACUUUAUGUUCAUCGUUAAUUUUUCUUCCAGAAAUAAGUUCCAGAAGCACAACACCAAAAGAAUAGACGUCUGAUUUGUCAGAAAGUUGUUGAAUAGAUUCACCUUGUUGAGUAUUGUAAUUUUCUGGAUCUGCAUAGCUGCAAUUUGCAUAUAAAAUUAAAAAAAUUUUCUAGUAUGUCAGAAUCAUGGCACUACAAAAAUUAGAUUUUAAUUUUUUUUUUUUCACUUUCUUACUAUUCUAGAACUAAACUUAAAACAGAUUGAUUAUAACAUAGGAAGGAAAAAAUAGACUAAUUUUAAUUCAGUGCAGUGUUCAAUCAAGGUUCUUACACGUAGGUUCCCUUCCAAUGAGAGCUGAUGUGAGUGACACUAUUAGUUAUUGGAAAAAACUUUGCAAGUCCAAAAUCUGCAAUCUGAACAAAAUAAUUUUUCAAAUUAAUUAUCAAAUUAACUAAAAAGCCUUUAAUUAUUAAAUUAAUUACUCCACCUUUAAUUAAUUUGUCAAAUUGAUUAAUCUACCUUUGGCUUACAAUUUUCAUCAAGAAGUAUAUUUUCAGCUUUAAUGUCACGAUGGAUGAUUUUAGAAUUACCUGAAAAUACGAUGGAGAAUGAAAAUAUUUAAUAAGAAAAUAGAGUUAAAAUUCAAGAAAAAAAACAAAAAAAAAAGAAUAACUAAAAAGUCUAUUACUCACAUCCUUCAUGCAGAUAUGCUAAUCCCUUUGCAGAACCUUUAGCAAUUUUCAUUCUCUCUGACCAUUUCAAAUUUGAUCUUCGCAGUUCAUCUGCAUUGCCAUUUAGCAUUAUAUAACCAACAAUCCAAAUUACACGCAGAAGUCUUUUUGAAAUUUUAUAUAAUACAUUCUAUUUUUCAAAUUUGAUCUUCGCUGUUCAUCUGCUUAAGUGGUAAAGGCAUUUAUAUCGCAGUGUUAGGCGUCCGAAUUCUAUCUUUUCUGACGAUUAUGAUUACGUCUAAACACCAAAAAGGAGAUGUGGAGCAUGUGAAAAGGACUUACCAUUUAGAUGAUAUCUCAAGGAUUUGUUGGUAACAAACUCUAAAACAAGCAAUCUGUCAGAAUCUUCAUUGCAGUAGCCAACCAGCUUAACAAGAUUUCCAUGGCGCACAAUGCCAACGGCAUUAACCUCCUUUUCAAAUUCUUCUUGUUCCUGUCCACUGAUCUCAUAGUUAAGUUUCUUAAUUGCUACGUCUUUCCCUCUCGGAAGGGAUCCCCUAUAGACAGAACCAAAGCCCCCGCCGCCGAGGAGUCUACCGUUGGUGAAAUGGCCAGUUGCUUUUGCUAGUUCUGAAAAUUUAUAUGUCUUCAGUUCAUAUGCUUUAUAAUCAUCAUUAGAAGCUGACUGCGUUCCUGUAAACAGAGAAUAACUACCAAAUUGUAAGUUACUACCAACUCAACAAUCUUUAAUUGAAAGUGUGGGAAAGUGUUUGUUACCUUCCACAACCCAUAAUUCCUUAUGUGGCAUUUUUCCUUCAAGAGUUCUAACUAUCUGCAUUUCAUAAUACAUUUAUUAUUUUCUAUAUAAAAUCUAAGAAUUUAAUUGAAAUAAUUUUUUAUAUUAAUUCUCUCUUUUUAAAUAUUCUUUAAAAUUUAAAAUGAAUUGAAAUAAUUUUAAAAUGAAUGAUUAAAUAAUCAAAUAAAUUUAAGUAUACCUGUCCCAUUGUUGGCCGAAGUUUUGGGGAUGGACUGUAUAGGCUAGCAGCUGCACAAUAAAUUAUUCUUUCCAUUUCUAUUUGAUCGUAAUCUUCUUUCAAUGUUGAAUCAACUAAGCUCUUGUAAUUCACAUUUAUUGAAUCUCCUUUUAUCAUUAGAGGUUUCGCCUGAAUAAUUAUCUUUUAUUAUUUUUGUAAUACAGAUAAAUAUAAAACAUAAAUAAUAAUAAUAACUUCAUAAUUUAUUUUAUUUAUUUUUUUGAUUUUGUUGAUGAGAAAGGACAGAAAAGAAAAUUUGUAGAUUUUGCUGGCUGCUUACCCAAUUCACGAUAUCAAGAUUACUUUCAUGAAUUUUUCUUCCACUGAUGAGUUCUAGAAGUAUAAUUCCAAAAGAAUAAACAUCCGAUUUUUCAUUGGAAUUUUCUGAAUCAGUAUAACUGCAUGUUUAAGAAGUAUUAAAAAUUUUGCAUUAAGAAAUUUUUUUUAUAUAUAUAAAUAAAGUCUAAGCCCAAAACAGCGCCGCCCAUUUUGUGCUCCAAUCUCUCGGCUGAGAAUUCAAGAUCCUUGGUUUUCUUUUUAACUUUUUUUAAUAAAAAAUCUAUUUUGUAGAAGUAGAUAAAAAAUAAUAACCAUGUAAUUAUAAUCUACAAGCAAAAGUACUAUAUAUAUAUAAAUCAAAUCUUACAUGGUAGCCUCUUUUUUAUCGGCAGGAAUGUGUCUGAUAUUAAUUUCUGGAAAAAUUUUAGCAAGCCCAAAAUCAGCAACCUGAAAAGAAAAAAUUUUUUAUCCAUAUUAAGUAAAUUAGUAUAAGAUUCAUUUAUUGUGAAUCAUAACACAUUACGUAUAUAUGUAUUUAAAAUAAAUUUAAUUCUGAGACUUUGCUGUUUAAUUUUUUAUUAAGUGAUAUCUUAACUAUAUUUAAUUAGCACUUAAACAACAAAAAAUUUUAUAAAAAAAAAUCAUUCACUCUAAUAUUUGUUGAAAUUUAUGCUGAAAAUAAACGGCUGUUUCAAAAUAAAUAAUUUUAAAAAAUGAAAGAAAAAUCGAGAAAGAAUGCAGGGAAGAUAUGCAACAUCAUAUGUAGAAUGCAUGAAUGCCUAUGCAUGAAAAGUUUUAUUUGAUACUAUUAAAUUAUCCUAUUUUUCUUUAUAAAUAAAAAAAAAAAUUAUCAUACCUUGGAUUUAAAGUCAAUAUCUAGAAGAAUAUUAUCGGAUUUAAUAUGAUAAUUUUAGGAUUACCUAAAUAAAUAAAAACAGAAAAAUAUAAAUCUUAAUUAAUGAAAAGUUAAAAAAUGAAAAUAGAUGAAAACUUAAUUGCAAAAAGAGCAUAGUAAGCCUUGAUUAAUAUAAGAUUACUCACAUUGUUCAUGCAGAUAUGCUAAACCUCUCGCAGAGAGCCUAAAGCAAUUUCCAUUCUUAUUGACCACUUCAACUUUGAUCUUUUCUUUUCAUCUAUGAUAUCGUUUAUUAUUUGUAAGAUGGCAAUCAUAUAAUAACAAUCCAAAAUGUAUCUUAGGACUCACCACUCAGAUGAAAUUUCAAAGAUUUGUUGGGAACAAACUCUAAAACAAGCAGUCUAUCGGCUUCUUCGCAGCAGUAGCCGAUCAGCUUAACAAGAUUUGGGUGAGACACAGAGCCGACCUCCUUAAUCUGAUUCUCGAUUUCUUCUUCCUGCUCACCAUCCUGCAUAUAUUUAAGUUUCUUAAUAGCAAUGAGCUCACCACUUGGAAGGCUUCCUUCAUAGACAUCACCAAAAUCACCGAUGCCAAGAACUCGUUUGUUGGAGAAAUGACGAGUUGCAAUUGCUAGUUCUUCAAAUGAAAAUUUCUUGAGUAAAUCCUCAGCUGAUGUGUGCUCCGCGACUUGUCCUCCGGGGAACUCAGUACUCGCCGGCAUCUCGUCCUCGACGAUAUUAGAUAGAAAGACAGAGAGAGAGAGUGGAGUGGAGGAGUAUUUAAUAUCCAGGGACGUAUAGGAUUGAUAGAGAAAGAGGAAACAGGCUGGAAGUUGCUUGAUAUAUGUUUAAACAAUUGUAUAUAUUUUUUUUUCACAUGAGAAAUUUCCUUGAAAAAAUAAAAACUAAAAUUCAAAACUCUGCAAACGAUGAAAAUUAUAAAUUUAAUCUAAAUCUAAAAACAAAAUAUUCAUAGGGAGUAAUAAUAAUAGUAAAUAGUAAUAAACAAUAUUAAUAAGUUUUUAUUAGUUAUGGCAGACACACAAUAUAUAUAAUUAAAGAUUGGUUUAUUUUCUUAAUUAUUUAUAUUAAAUAUUAGUUUUGUCGCUAUACGUAUUGAAUAAUAGACACUCUAAAUAAAUAAAUAAGAAAUAAUUAAUUAAUGCAUCCUUGUGAAUAAUUGAUGUUGAUUAAUUUAGCACUAUCAAUAUUAUAUAUGUGAUGGGUAGUUGGGAGAUGUGAAUGAUAGAUAAUAAAUUUGAAAUCAAACCACUAAUUUAUAUGUUGGAUAAGACUUGAGGGUUAUCCGAAAGUCCACAUAUUUAAAUCAAACCACUAAUUUAUUUAUUUAUUUCUACAUUAUUGUCGUUUCUAUUAAGUUGAUAAUUCCUCACACAUGGGCUGUUAGAAAUAGAAAAUAAAUUGGCACAUGAUCCAAAUUGCCGACAGAGACGCUACAGUAGUGGCCACAUUGCUAAUAUUCUGUUCAUCUCUUGCGCUAGACGUGCCAUGGGCCGGUUUCAAUUUGUAACUGGCAAUUCAAUUUAUUUUUUCAAUUGAAUUAGAAUCAGUUAAAUUCAAGACAAUUUUAAUUUAUUAACGGUUUUGAUUUAAUUUUAGAACAGUUAUGAUUUCAAUUUUUUACAGUUUUGAUUUAUUUUUUAAUUAAAUCAAAAUCAUCAAUCAUCAAUCAUCAAUCUAAUUUCAAUUUAAAGAAAUUUAAAUUUAAAAAAUUUAAAUAAAAUAUAAAAAAAUAAAUAUAAAUUUUAAAUAUUAUUAAAUACAUAUUUUAUUAAAUAAAUAAAUUAUUAAAAUGUAUCUAUUGUACGUGAUAAAAAAAUAAAAUAAUAUUACAUUUAAAUAUAAAAAAUUUUAAUAUAUAUUUCCUAGGAAACUUCAAUUAUCUGUAACAAAAAUUUUCAUUUUAACACACAUUUUCUAAGUCCAAAUAGAUUUAAUUAGUUUGAUUAUUUUGGGAAAAAUCUCUGAAUUUUAUCUUCAAAUUCAAAUAAGUCAUAAUUUAUUAAAAUGUUAUUUAAUUUUAUAAUAGUAAAUAUUUUUUGUGAUUUUUGAAUAAUAAAAAAUAUUUAUCAUUUGUAAUAAAAUUACUAUAAUAUUUUUUUACUUUUUUUAAAAAUACAACUGUUUAAUCAUUUUAUUAAUAUUUUCAUUAGUCAAUUGACUAAAUAAUUUAUAAUAAUAAAAACAUUUUAAUACUUUAUUUAAAAUAUUGGAGAUUAAAUUUAAAAAUAUAUUUAUGACAUUUAAUAGAUUUUAUCAAUAUAUAUAACAAAAUAGCUAAAUAGUUACAUCGUAAUAUAAUAACUAACUUUUUAAUUGAUUUUAAAAAUUAUAUGAAUGAAAUAAUAAAUUUUUUAAAAAUUAAAGCACUUAAUAGUAAUUUUCAUUAGUGAAUAUAAUACCAUUUAGAUAGUUGUCAUCGUUCUCAUCCCAUGUAUCCUUCAAAGGAACAACAGCUUCAAGAAUUUAAAUUAUCUUCAUGACAUAGAAUAGUAAAAAAAAUUAAACAUUAAGUGUGAAAAUUGUUUAAAAUAUCACACUAUAUAAAGUUGCAUACAUACAUUCACAAUCGAAAUAUUCAACCAUGAAAUCUAUGUUUAUGGACAAAUAAAAGUAACAUUUUUACUAUGAUAAAAAAAAAAGUGUUAUAAUCUCUCAGAUCUUUUAAAAUUCUAAUUUCAGUUUAUAUUUUGAAAUCUCUUAUAAUAUAAGCGAGAGUCUGCGCUUCCAACAAAAAAUUUUGUUUUCUAAUUCAUUUCGGAUCAUAUCGCUAAAUUUUUUGAAUCAGAUCACAAUUCAAUUCAUAAAAAAAAUAUUCAAAUUUUAAGCCACAUAAUUAACACAAAUAAUAACCUCUUAGUUUUUCUUUAUUAAUUAUGAAAAGAUUUCAUAAAUAAUAAUGGUAACAUCCUCAAAUUCAUAGUUAGAAAUAGUGACAUUGCUAGGUAUGAGUUAGACUAUUUCAUUAUUAGGGCAAGUGGCAUUAUGGGAGUUAUUAGCUUAUCCCGAACUACUUAGAGGAAGUGCUAGCAGAACUCUAAAUUGCUAAUAAUUGAAUCAUAGAAAACUCAACUAAAAAACAGACAUAUUCAGAAAUAAAGUAGAUAGUGUGAUUAGCGAGUUGAAAAUGAGUCAUCUUCGGGAGGUGUUUAGGGUUACCCGACAUGCUCGCUUGAGGUUCUUGUUAAAAUUCGACAGCUUAUCUAAGUGAAAUAGAUUUCUAAAGUUUUAGUAAGUCAAUCUAUGAAUAUUGAAAAUUUAAAAAUUAAAUUGAAAUAUGAUAAAGAAUUUAGUUGGUUGAAGUAUGAAUAUGAAAAGUUCAAAAGUAAAAUUCAAUUUUAGUCUUUUAUUUUUUUACCUCUUCAACUUAACCUCUCCAUGUGUUAUCUAAAUAAAGUCAAAAUAAGUGAUAAAAGUAAAGAGAAAAGGUUAUCUUCUAUAUUUUAGAAGUCUUGGCUGAAAUUCCUCCAUUAAAGAACAAAUGUGACUUUAGUUUUCUUUAUUUCCACCAAAUCUAAGCCAAUUUCUUCACUAAAUCAAUUUUUUUUUACAAUCAAAGUUCAUCCUCAUAUCAAGGAUAAGAAAAUAAGUUAUAAAUUGAAAUAUUUAAAAAAGGAAAAAUUAGAGUUCCAAGUAUUAAAGCUUCAAAGCCAAAGAAAUUUCAAAAGAAAUGAAUUUUGCAAAAAAUUUUAGUAUUUGUAUGAUUUUCUAUUUUUUUUUAUUUUCUCAUUAAUAUGUAAAAUUAGAGAUUAAUUUUGCUUGCCGAAAAUAUUGCUUUGAUUAUAUAAAUAGAUAAUAUAAAUAUUGGAAUGUUGUUUUAAAUACUCAAAAUAAAAAAAUUUAAUAUGAGAGUUAAAAGUACAAACUUGACAAUAGAUUUUAAAAGGGCUAUAUAUGUUAGCAGUUUCAUAAUUUAUUGUGUAUUUAUUGAAAUUAGAUAUAAAAUAUACCAAAUAAAAAUUGAGAUAAAGAACUAAACUUUUAUAUGUGAUGAUAAUCAUAAAAAAAUAUGGAUGAUACUAUUAUAAAAUGUGUGUUAAAUUAAAAAAUAGUAAAAUAUUAAAUGACAGUUAAUAGUAUAAUUAUAAAUAUAUUUUUUAUAUAUAUUACAAGUUAAAAUAUUGAUAAAAUAUAAGAAACUCUGCUAAAAAUUUGACUUGUCCCGGCGACUCCUUUAAUUUGCUUACUAAGCCCUAGCUUACUAAAAAAAAAUAGAUUUCAAAAUUAUUACAGCUUGAAAGGCUUGAAAAAAAGAACUUUAACUUCCUAUUAUUAGUAUACCGUAAGUAACUCGGUGCCUAAGAAGAGUUUGUCUUCAUUGCGUAUUGGCGGAAUAAGAAAAUGUUCAAUUACAGGGAGUUUGCUUUUCUUAAAGAAAAACCAAUUUCAAAAUUUAUUUUUUUAACUUUAAGAAAAAGCAUAGUUUAUCCAAAAAAGUUUAGUGCCUAAGGGGUGCUAUAAUAACCUCCACUUAGCCUGGUUUCAUAAAAAAAAUUAAAAUAAAAUUUUAUAAAAUCAUAUAUGAUUUUAUUUUCUUUAAAAUAAAUCUUUAUAAGUUAAAAAAAAUAUAUAUCUUUCAAACAAGAAAUUUGAUAAAAAAAAAAAUAAAUUAAAUUCUAAAAAUUUUAAAUUCACAUAAGAGAAUAUAGUAAGUAAGUUCUUAUCUGUCUCAUUAUAUAAUUUUUUUUAACUAAUUGAUUUCAAUAAAUAUGACAAUAUGCUUUAUUAAAUUACAUAAAUAUACAAUGAUUAUCAACUACCUAACUUGUACAUUGGAAAAUAAAAUUAGAAUUUAAAUAAUUAAUAUUAUUAAUAAUUUACUUUAUUAGUUAAGUUAAAUUAUUAUUUUACUUUAAUAUUUAAAUCUUAAAACUUUAAGUAUAAUUUUUAUAAAAAUAUAUAAAAAUAUUAUUAUUAAUUAUUAAUUAUUUAUUUAAUAAUACACCAAUUAAAUGUUAACUCAAACCUUAAACUUUUAACUCUAUGCGUUUAUCGGUUCUUAGAUCGGUCCAGAUCUCAAAAUUAUGGCAAAGUUUACAUAUUGCUGAGCAAUGAUAGAGAUUUCAUGUACCCAGGAUCACCCUACACUCCUUUAGCUGCGGCGCUGAGGCUAAGGCUGCCUUAGAAUCUCUUAGACAUUUUAACUCAACCCAAUGCACCAUGUUUGUCAUGCCUCUUGUCUAAGACAAUGCUUCUCUUUUUUAUUAUUUUUUUUAAGUAAUAUAUAUAUGUAUAUUAAUAAUUUUUGUUGUGCUUAUUUUUUUAAAUAUCUCAGUAUCAAUUAUAAUUAUCGUCUUAAUAGUAUUAAGAGAACAGUUUUAUAAUAUUUUAAAAUUUUUAUAAAAAAAUUAAUUUUUUAUAAUAAUAUAUUUAAUAAAAAAUUAUUUUAUAUUUAAUAAAAUUAUAAUUUUAAUUGUGUCUUUUAUCUAUUAUUAUAAAAGACUUUAUAAUAAUAUAUAAAUGGAUGUCUCACAUGCAAUGAGAGUGGAGCUAAAUGCAGCGAUUUUCAAAUUAACUGUUGAUAUUGAUUUACAGCUAUAAUUAAAAUAUAUAAAGUAAUAAUUUACUGCCAUUACUUUAGAAUGAUUUUUAUAAUAGUAGAACUUGAAUUAUUUAUUUGAAAUCUUGAAAAUGUUCAAUAUACACUACUGAAACUUUUUUUUAAAUAGAUGAAUUCAUUUUUGAAAUUUAGCAUAAAUAAAAAAAUUAAUAAAUUUAAAAUUAAAUGAAAAACUUUUCUCAAAUUAUUCAUGGAUUUCAAAAUAAACUUUGUUACAAAUUAGUGCAUCUUACUGUCAAUUUUCUAGCUGUUACUUUGAUAAUUUUUUGUUCCCAUUCUACUGGUAUAAUAAAGAGUAUUUUACUCUUAUCAUAUGCUCCAUCUUGGAUGUGAGAUGCUUGAUAAAUUCCUCCUCUUGUUGUUGUCGUUGGAGUAGAAACUUCUCCAUCAUUGAUUCCAUAAAAGUCUUUUGCUCACAAAUAGGUUGAGAUUGUUAAAAAUUCAUAUCUUAAUUUCUUCCAACUUGGAACUCAGGCAGUCUCCUAUUUUAUGGUGGAGAAAAGUAUUGUUGUGGAAGAAGAAAUUGCUGCUGAAAAUUCUGAUUUUGCUUCGGUUGUUCAGACCAAGAUAAUUCACUUGCUCAGCUAAAAAAUCUUGUCCCCAACUUUGAUUGUCAUACACAAAACUUGCUCCAUAGCUCAUGUCAUUCACAACAUUUACAUUCUUAGCUUUCAUUCCCAUGGUCAUCUUAUCUAUCCUUUUAACUAAGGCAUUAAACUUCGCAUUGAUCAUUCACAUGGCAUCAAUCUCAAACAUCCCAGUCGGUUUCUUAGCCUCACUCUUCACAUUGGCCCUUUCACCAUUACAAUGGUAGUUGUUGUAAACUGUUUUGUCCAAGCAAGCAUAAGCAUCAUCUUCAGUUUUUUCCAUUAAAUCACCUCCUGCAGCUACAUCAAUUGCACUUCUCAAAAUUGGAGAAACGACAUUAUAAAAGUGUUAUACUAUAUCCACUUUGGUAUACCAUGGUGAGGACACUUCCUUUGAAGUUCCUUGUAUUGCUCCCAAGCUUCAUGUAAAGACUCAUCUUCCCUUUGUGUGAAAGAAGUAAGCUCAAUUCUCAACUUAACUGUCUUGCCAGGAGGUAUAUACUGCUCAAUAAAAACUUGUGACAAUUGCUCUCAAGCGGUAAUAGAUCCAGAUAGCAAAGCAUUGAGUCACUCUCUAACUCUAUCUCUCAAUGAAAAUGGAAAAAGUCUCAAUCUGAUUGCACCUUUAGAAACUCCAUUAAGCUUGAUCAUAUUACUUAUUUCCAUGAAAUUGCUCAAGUGUAGAUAUGGGUUCUUAGUAGGUUGCCCACUAAACUGAGAUUGUUGCACCAUUUGAAUCAAAGACGGCUUCAACUCAAAAUUGUUUGCAUCAACCCUCGGUCUCACUACACUAGGCCGAAAAUCACCAAAGCUAGGAUAAACAAGGUCUCGAAUUAUUCUAAUGUUUUGUUGAGCCAUAGCUUUUACUUCUUAAGUAUCUUCCUCUUCUUCUUCUUAAAUUACUUCUUCAAUAUAAACUUAAUCGUCUUGUAUAAAAAAAUUCCUGAAAAAAUUAAAAAAUAAAACAAGCAAGUAAAAAGAUAUUAAAAGAGAAAAAAAAAAAAGUCCAAAUCAACCAAUCACCUAAUAUCAAACAAAAUUAAUUUUCUGGCAACGGUGCCAAAAACUUGUUGUGAUACUGCAAGUAUACGGGUUGCACAAGUAAUAUAAUAAUAGAGUAGAAUAUCUUCCCAUGGAGAAUUAGCAUUUAGUACUAGGCUAUGGUUGAAGUAAUUAUUUGGACUAAUCAAUUUAACGCUAAAAUUAACUAAUUAAGAUAAAAUGUACAGCAAUAUAAUUAAAAUUAAUAAAAUAGAUGGCAAUUAAACUAAUUAAUUUUAUAUUAGCAAGAGGAAAUAACUAGCCAUUGAAAGUGAUUAAACUAAGUAAAGGUAAAUUAACUAGAAAUUAACUAAAAUUAGCAAUUAAUUAAGAUAAAAAAUCAAAUAUGGGAAAGCGAUUUCAGAGAUUUGGGAUUCACACUCUAAUUAAUAUGGAUUUUCUUCAAUUUCUAUCAAUUCAUGGGUAUUCUAUUGCUUGAAGGAAUUAAUUCCAAAAUUACCUUAAUUCUCUUUCAAGAUAUCAAGGUUGUACCUUAAUUAAAUCAAUUUCUACUUUCGCAGCUCUUGAUUUAAUAAAAACUCAUUAGGUCCUUUAAUUAAUUUUGAAAUCCUCUCAUAUCCUAAGUUAAUUUCUUAAAUCUAAGAAUAUAAGUUCUAAUCCUAGGUUUUCCACCAUUAAUCUUCAUCUUUCAAUACAUUAAUUAAUGAUUAAAGCACUACUUUAUUUUGUCAAACAUAAAGCAAAAGAUUAAAGCACAAGAAAAAGAAUAAAGAUCAAAUACUCAACUCAUAAUUUGAAAUUAGCACAAACCCAUUGAUAAAACUUAGUUCAAAUCUAAAAUUAAAAUAGAGUAUUAUAUACUCUAUCUUUGAAAUCUAAAAAUCUACUAACUAUUCAUGAUAUUUACAAAGGAAAUCUCAAAAUAAAAUAAAGAAAAUAUGAAAUAAAUAAAGGAGAAGAAAAGCCCAAAUGAAGAACUCUUCAAAUAUUAAUAAUCCACGCCCAAAGAGCCUCUAUUGGUGAAGUUCCAGCAGCCCCUUUUGUUUUUCACGUGAAAUGAGGAACAAGAAGGUGAAAAAUAGUGGAAAAAUGGGAGAGAAAAGGAGGUGGCGGCUCUUCCCUUUAUUUUUGGAUAUCUCCCUCUAAAAAUUAAAGAAAAAUACUAUUUAUAUAUCCUGAAAAGUUGUUCUAGCAUAAUAAAAGAGGUUGCUAUGUCAUCACCAUAAGUUGCUGAUUUUUGUACAUUAAAAUGAGUUGGCAGUUUGAGUGACAUAAGCUAUGACACAACUGUGUUUUUGCUUAUGCAACUUUCUGCCCCUCUUUGAAAUAAAUGAUCUUCAAAACGCAAUUGACAUAACUUUUUCUAUAAAAUAAAGAUAAAAUAUCUAUAAAUACUAAUUUAUAAAAGUUAAUUAAAAUUACUAAACAUAUCAAAUAAAUAAGUAAAGAUAGCUAUUUACAUGAGUAAAAUGGGUGCAAAAUAUAGUUAAAAAGUAUAUAAAAAUUGAGGUUAACACUAUUUUUCAAGAAGAAUACAACAAGGCUGUAGUUCUUGGAAAAUGAGUUAACAAUGAUAACACAAGAUGGCAUGCCAAUUUCAGAAUAUUUUUUGCGGGUGAAAAGCAUUUGUUCUGAGAUUUUUAAAUUUGAUGCGGAUGAGAAAAUUAGUGAAGCCUGAUUGAGAAGAUUUCUUAUUCAUGGCUUAAAGGAGUAUACACCUUUUGUUACCUCCAUCCAAGGAUGGGCAGUUCAGCCAUGAGUUGAAGAAUUUGAAAAUUUACUUUCCAAUUAAGAGGCUUUGGCUAAGCAAAUGGCUAAAAGCUUUAACUCUGAACAUGAUGUUCUUCUUGUCUUAAAAAGAAAAUCUUAUGGGGAUGUAGUGUCCCACAUCGAUUGUUUAUAGGAAAAUUGAUGGAUUUAUGAAUAGCUAGCAAAAACUACCAAGUAACUUGGGUUAACUAUUUUGAACCAAGUAAAAAAUGAAUCAAAAAAUUAUUUAGGUCAGUUUGGACUUGAUGGUUAAAGAUAGGGUAUAACAAAAAGAACUAUCGUGUGAAGAUAAUGUUUUCUUGAGGCUACACCUAAUCAAUCUGAAAAAAUGCAUUUGCUGGUCUUGUUGUAUAUGGAUGAUAUGAUAAUUACUAUGAAGAUGAAAUUUGGAAGAGGUUCGAUGCUUUCUUGACUUAGAAGUAAUGAGAACAAAAAAGGGAGUAUUUGUAUCUAAAAGAAGAUAUGGAGAGGAUCUUUUGCAGCGUUUUGGCAUGGGGGAGUCUAAAGAAAUGGCAACUCCUAUGGAAGUGAAUCUCAAGUUGAAGAAAGACGAAGAUAAAUUAUUGAAAGAUAAUUUGAUUUAUUUAACAAUUACAAGACCAGAGAUUGCAUACUUUGUUGGUAUCAUCUCUCAACUUAUGCAAAAUCCAAGAACUCCUUAUUUAUGUUGCAAAAAGGAUCAUUCUAUUAGGGAAACACCAUUUUUUAAAAUAGUAAAAAUAAAAUAUUAUAAAUAAAUAAAUAAAUGGCACAUAAUAAUUUUAUGUGGUUUACCACCAUUAAUUUUAGGCUACGUCCACAUGCCGAACUCUGAAUAAUUCUUCAACUAUAAAAAUAGUAGGUAUAAAGAAAGAGAUUACAAGUGAGAUCUACUAAAAAAUAUUUAACACUCAAAGUGUUUCCCAAAAUACCCAAAAUAUUUUCCUCAUUAUUUUGUCACUCUCUAAAUAAACUAUCCCUCUCUCUCUAAUAUUUUUCUCUCAAAGCUACAAGUUUUGAAAAUACUCAACUCACUCAAAGGAGAUUUGCUUCAAAUUCAACUGAUGCCAAUUACCUUGUGCUCUUGCCUAUUUAUAGGCAAGAGUAUUGCCCAAGCAUUAAAUGCAAAUCUUUGGUUGCAAGAUGGCCACGUUAGUGGCUUUUGUUGUGUGGCUGAAAAAUUCCCCCCCUCCCCCUUUUUUUAACUUCAUAAUCGUUACUGUGGGCCCUCUAUGUUAGAGGGACCCACCUAAUAAUUCUCCCCCUCCCGACUACAUGAAAGGCUGCACCAUUGCAGUUGCUAGUCGAUGGUACUCAAACUUUUCCCUUGGUAAUCUUGGUUAACAUGUCUUAUCCAUUUUCUUUUGUAUGGAUCUUUUCAAGUAGUAGUUACUUCAUCUCCAACACACUCCUGAUCCAAUGAUAUCUCACAUCAAUAUGCUUCGAUCUUGAAUGGAAAGAGACAUUCUUCCCAAGGUGAAUAGCACUCUGACUGUCACAAAAUAACUGAUAUGUUUCCUGUUGGAGCCCAAGUUCAUUCAAGAGCUUUUUCAUCCAAAGUAACUCUUUACAUGCUUCAGUUGUUGCAAUAAACUUUGCUUCAGUAGUGAAAAGAGCAACACACAUUUGUAAUCUUGAUUUCCAUGACAUGGCUCGCCCUGCAAAUGUAAUCAAAUAUCCUAAUAGACUUUCUUGAGAAGUCAACAUCGCUGACCAUAUCUGCAUCUGUGUAGCCAACUAACACAGGUUCACUACUCCCAGAACACAAACAUAAUUUGGAAGUGCCGCGAAGAUAUCUCAAAAUUCACUUCACUGCAGUCCAGUGUUCCCUUCCUAGAUUUGAAAGAAACCGACUCACUAUUCCAACUACGUGAGCAAUAUCUGGCUGUGCGCAUACUAUGGCAUACAUUAAGCUUUCAACUGCUGAAGCAUAAGAAACCUUGUCCAUUUCCUCUCUCUCUUCAUCUGAAGAAGGAUUCUACUUUGAGCUAAGAUGAAAGUGGUUAGCAAAAGGACAACUAACCACUUUACCAUGCUCCAUGUUGAACUUCUGAAGUAUUUUCUCUAUGUACUUCUAUUGUGACAACCAUAACCUCUUGGCAUUUCUAUCUCUGGUUAUCUUCAUGUCAAGAAUUUGCUUUAUUGGCCUCAAAUUUUUCAUGGCAAAAGACUUACUCAGCUGCUUCUUCAAACUAUUAAUUUUGGAGACAUUCUGGCCAACUAUCAGCAUAUCAUCCAUAUAGAGCAAAAGAAUGAUGAAAUCACCAUAAGAGAAUUUAUGAACAAAUACACAGUGGUCUGAAGUAGUCUUCUCAUAACUCUGCUCCCCCACGACAGACUUGAACUUCUUAUACCACUAUCUUGGUGCCUACUUCAAGCCAUAAAAGCUUUUCUUCAACUUGCAAACAUAGUGCUCUUUUCCUUUCUUUUUGAAACGCUCUGUCUACUCCAUAUAUAUCUUUUCCUCCAAAUCUCCAUGAAGAAAGGCAGUCUUUACAUCCAUAUGUUCAAUCUUCAGAUCAAUAGUAGUAGCUAAGCUUAGCAUUGUUCGGAUGGAUGUCAUCUUCACCACUGGUUUUCAGACUUCAACUAAGAUAAAUCAUGUUAAGUAAAAAAAUUGAUAUGAGAAUAAAUCAACCAAAAAACCAUCGCUAAAAUCAUAUCCACAAGUAGAAAACAAGAUCACAAUAUUGGAAGUUAUAGACAAAAACCAUAAUCAAUUGCACUCAGUCAAGCCACGGUGAAAUAUACACAAAAUUCAUAAUGAUAAAAUUCACAAAUCAAUUGUACUCGGUUUUUAUACUUCCAUUGUAAUUAAAAAAAAAACACACACACACAAAAAUAAAGGAAAAGAGAGGAGUUAUAAUCACAAAUAAGAUUCGUAUCUAAAUAUAUAAGAUUUCCUUGGGUAUAUAGGUAAUGCAGAUAUGGAAACUGCUGUCAUUCUCACUCCGUAAGGAAAGUUUUGUCAUUCUCUCGCCAAAUUAUGCUCCAAGGCAUAGACCCUUCUAAGACUUGAACAAUCUGCAUCAAUUAGCAAUGAGACAAUAAUGCUUAAACGUAUAAAUUUUAACUAAUUAAUUAAUAAAUUAGCAUUGACAGGGAAAAGAUAAUUAACUUACAAAUAGAUUAUUAAAAGUUUGAAUUUUUGUAAACAAAUUAAUAAUUUUUUUUCUUUUUUGAUAUUUGAUCAGUAAUUUUGUAUCAUUUAUAAAUGUUGUUUAUAAUUGUGUCCAGCGAUUAAAAAUUGAAGUGUUAUAACAUAUUAUGAUAAAAUAUUUAUUAUUUUUUAUUAAUUUUGAGAUCCAUGUGAUAUUUUAAUAAGAUUAUGUAGAUUUUAUAAUUUAUUAACAAAAUGAUUUUACCUUUCAAAAAAUUGCUUUUAUCAUAAUCAACUAUUAAGUAAUUAUAUUUAAUUAAAUAACUGAUAACUUAAAUUAAAAAAAAUCCAUCUAUUUAUGUAAAAUAAAUUACAUAAAAAAAUUCUCUUAUAUAAAUUUCUUAAAUAAUUAUAUUAAUUAGGUAAGCAGCAUGUUUGUCUAAAAAUUUAUUUUAAACAAAUUAAUUUAUAUAAUUCAUAAUAAAAUUAAGAGUUUAAUAUUUAGAAACACAAUCAAUUAAAAUUUUAUGACAUUCUAUCAAACAUAUAUAUAUGGCUUUACCUGUUGCAUUCUUGGUCGAAAGCGCGAAGAUUUAUAUACGGAAGCUGCAGCGCAAGAAAUCAUUCUUAGCAUCUCGUCCUCAUCAUAUUCUUGCAAUCUGGAAUCGACCAGAUCGGUAAAUUCACUAUUGUCCAAUGCUUGCCCAAUCCGAUCCUUAGCCUGCACGUUGAUAAGUGGAAGUAUUAGUUAUUUUUUUUUUUCUAUUGAAAAUAAACUUUUAUUCUUUUAAAAUUAUUACAAUUAUUUUUAAUGCAUUCGAGUGUAGAAUUGUGCAUAGCUUUUGAGUUUGAAUUAAAUUGAAAAAUCAUAUUAAAAUUAAAAAAAAUAAUAUUGUAGGAAUUAAAUUCAUAUUAAAUUUAUUUAACUAUUUUAAUUUUGAUUCUUUAUUAAAAAUGUACAAAACACUGAUUAUAUAAUAAUAAUAAUAAUUUUAGUGAUAUUAGAGUUUUAUUGUAUAAUUUUAAUAAUAUGAUUUAUAUAUUAUAUAGAUCUAAUAUAAUUUUAUAUAUUUAUAUACAAUAAAAUGUAUGAAUAAAUAUUAUAUUUUUUUAUUCCAUUUCAAAAAAAAAAUUAUAUUUUUUAUUAUAUAUAAAUAUUAUUAUUAUUUUAAUAUUAAUUAUUUAUUAUUUUAAAAUAAAUAUAAAAAUAGUUAAUUUUAUAUGCGAUCAUUAAGAUUUCAACUAUAUUUUAAACUAAAAUUAAAAUUAAAAAAAAAAUUAUAACUAAAAUUGAAACUGUACUAAAAUUACUUAAAUUAUUUCUAUAAAAUUAUACUAGAAUGAUAUUAAAAUUUAAUUUUAAUUCUAAAUCCUAAAAUUAAAGAAUUUGAAAUUUAAUUUCAAUGCCAAUUCUUAGUUAGAAUUAUAGUAAAAUUAGAAUUUUUUGAAAUUUAAUUUCAAUUCCAAUUCUUAGUUAAAAUUGUAAUAAAAUUAGAAUGAAACUAUGAAUUUGAAAAAUUAUUAGUAUAUCAAUAUUAACUAAAAUACGAAUCAUUAAGAUUUCUUGCUAUAAACUAAAAUUAAAAUUAAAAAUAAAAAACAAAAUAAGAAUUACAAUUAAAAUUGAAACUGUACUAAAAUUACUUAAAACACUACUGCAAUGAUAUCAAAAUUUAAUUUCAAGUCUAAUUCCUAAAAUUAAAGAACUAGAUAUUUAAUUUCAAUUCCAAUUCCUGAUCAAGAGUUUAUUGAGGCUCUGCUUUUUCUCAGACUCGACUCAAAACCCUAAAUAUAUAAAUCAACAGUUUAAAAUCAACAGUUUUAUGUAAAAUAAAUAUAUAAAUAAUUAAUUUUGAAAUUUUUAUUAUAUUAAGAUAUAGUUACUUUUUAAUACAAUAUUGUUUUUUGUUUAUAGUGUAUUUUAUAAUCGUGCUAUAAUAAUUUUUUAAAAAAAUUAGAUAUGUAAUAACUUUAGUAUUAUUAUGUAAGUAAAAGUUUUCUAUUUUAUCACCAGCGAAUUACAAGUGCAUGUGUAUAUCUAUAAUAUAUAUAAAUAUAAAAAAAAAGAGGGAAACAAUUAAAAAUUUCCAUAAAUCCCAUGAUAUUUUUAUAUUAUUACAAUGAAAACUGAUUUUUGGAGUUAAAAUAAUAUAUGAAAUUGAUUUAUUAAAUUAAUAAUUUUAAUUAGUAUAUAUAUAUAUAAACUCUUAUAUUUUAAUUUCUAAAAAUUAAUUAAAAUAUAAAAAUAAAAUCAAUUUAUCUAAAAUUUAAAUAUAAAAUGACGUAAAUAUCAUAUUUUUUUUAGUUAUAUAAAUUAAAAAAAUAAAAAAUUAUUAAUUAUAAAAAAAUGCCAUGCGUAUAAGAGAGUGCCAUACCCAUCUAAGAAUAGUGCGGCGUUGAUCAACUGAAUGUCCUCUUCCAGUAAUUAGUUCCAAGAGGAUUCCACCAAAAGAAUAAACAUCUGCAUUCUCAUGAUUGUAACUAAAAUCUACAUAACUGCAAUGAAAAAAAAUGGAAAUCUUUGGUAGAGGAACACUUAAAAUUGAUAUUAUUUUUUCUUGUUAUUUUUCUAUUUUAAAAUUUUAACAGUUUAAAAUUAAAGUGUAAAGUGUAGUUAUCUUCGAUCAUUUAAUUAAUAAGUAAAAAUAUCUUACAUUUGAGCUCCCCUAUCGGUCGUGAUGUGGGUAAUAUUAUCAUCUGGAAACAAAAUAGAAAGUCCAAAAUCUGCCAUCUGAAUCAAUAAUAAAUUUAAAUUAAAAUAUUUUUCCAUAUAAUCAAUCUAAUAUUAAAAAGAAAAUAAUCAAACAGAGUAGAGUAAGAUUACCUUACAUCCAAGCAUCAAAUAAAUAAAAUCACACAAUUUUUUCAAUAUCUUCCAAAACUUUGACAUUUAACUGUAGAUUUAAAAUGCUAAAAUUAUUAUUUUUUAAUAAAAAUUAAUAUCUUACCUUUGGUUCAAAAUUACUAUCAAUAAAAAUAUUAUUUGGUGUGAGAUUUCCAUGUAUGAUUUGAGGUGUACCUAAAAAAUACAUAUAUUAAAAAAAAUUAAAAACUAUAAUAAAAAAUAAAUUAAUAAUAAAAAAUAAAAAUAAAAAUAUGUCAAGACUCAAUAGUUAAUUAUAGUCUAAAAAAAUAAAAAAUACUCACAGUGAUCAUGCAGAUAUUCCAAUCCUUUUGCAGAGUGUAUUGCGAUUUUCAUUCUUUUUUACCAAUCCAAACUUUUGGGAGUUUCUAUAUAUAUUGUUAAGAAGAUGAACUAAACUCAAUUAAAAUUAGAAUAUACAUUUUGAAUAAUUAUUUUUAUUAUGAUUUGAUUUUGCUUAAUUAAUUUAGGAUUUAUAUUAUAAUUUUCUUGGUUCAGAUUUUUGUGGGGGUAAUGAAACUCUGAAAUAAGGUAAGGGAUAUAGUGUGAGGGAAAUGCAAGACGUUAUAAUAAAUAUCUCAAUGAAAAAGCACUCACCAUAUAAAUGAUAUUUCAAGGUUUUGUUGGAAACAAACUCUGAAACAAGCAAUCUAUUGAAUCCGUCGCUGCAGUGCCCAAUUACUUUAACAAGAUUUGGGUGCCUCACAAAGCCAAGGUAAUUUAUCUCCUGUAAUGUAUUUUCUGAUGAGGUUCUCUUAAGUCUCUUGAUAACAACGUUUUCACCAUCCAAAGUAGCUAUAUACGUUUGACCAAAAGCACCCUCGCCAAGGAAAUUUGCUAAGGAGAAAUAAUUAGUUGCCAUGGCUAGUUGUCCAAAAUUAUAUUCCUUUAUUUCAACAUUUCGAGGUGUUUGACCUGACCAAGUUAUAAUACAGUCACGACUAGUUAAAAGGAGAAAAAUUUCAAUAAACAAAAAGAAAAAUUAGAGUAAAAUGCAUUAAGAAAACAAGAAAAAUAAAAGCCCUCAUAUAUAUAUAUAUACGAAAACACAAAAUCAUAAUUAAUCAUAAUCACGAGAACUAUUCAAAUAUCACUAAUUCACAAUGCAGUUGUUGAUAAUAAUAAUAAUAAUAAUAAUAAUAAUAAUAAUAAUAUUAUUAUUAUUAUUAUUAUUAUUAUUAUUAUUAUUAUUAUUAUUAUUAGAGAUGUACAUAGUAACAAUCAUAUUUUAUAAAAUUUAUCAUUAUAUUAUUAAUAUAUAUUCGGAGAUCAUACAAAAGAAAUUAUAUAUAUGAGACUCAUCCCUUGGUUAAUUAAUGACCUUCCUAGAGAGCCGAAGUUUUCACCUCUAAUGACGACUAGUAAAUACAUAUAUAUGCUUGAUAUGUCUGAGAUCCGAUGAGAUAAGGAGAUAUAGACACGAAGGCAAAAGUUUGAUUCACGAGAAAGUUAGUGACUCUGAUUGGGUAGUGUGAGAGUUAAUAAAACUGAAGAAUCUGGUUCAUGGAGGUUGAGGUUAUGAGGUAGGAUAUAGAGUUUUCUAUGUUGAUAGCUGAAAAAUUUGUUCCCAAAGAGAAUUGGUCCAGGAGUAUUUGUACCCGGUCAUGCUAAGGCGUUCUGAUAGUCAUCCUUUCGAAUUGGACAAUGACGUGCCGUGGUAGGUAUGUUAGGCAGCUCAUUAAUGGCAGACAGUCGGUUAAUAAAUGUUGAGCUGCUUGGUUCAUACUCUAUUCAUCACGCACGUCAUUUCUGUCAGUCCUACAGCACGCAUAAUUAUGGCCCUAGUGAGACCCAGGGCACUUUAAAGAGGUUAGCCUACUUGCUCCAAGCACUAGUAAGGUCGGCUUGCUCGCUCUGGGUAUAGAUAAGAUCAGAGGUGUAGGAGGUCUGACCUAUAUAUUACAUAGGUCGAACCUCCUAAUGCCUGAUCAGACCGGAUAACUUGGUGCGUAGACUCUCUUGUUUCUCUUGUACACGUGUCACGAUCUUAACAAAAUCUGUUAUUAUUAUGUUAUCAAAAGCCCUUUCGCUUCUCCGAUAAUUAUUUAUGACGGUUGGAGGAGCGAAUCAUAUCCUACACUUUACAGCUAGGUAUGUGCCCAUUAAUUUCAUUUUGAGUUACGAGGAGUGGCCAUAAGUAUGCAUGACGCGUUCGCGUCCUCCCAUACGUGUCCUGAUAACUAUCGUCAUUUGGGUCACCGAAGCGUUGUUCUUUGAAUGCCCAUAAAUGCUUCAAUUUGAGUAUCUAUUAUUCCCUCAGGUCGAAAAGAUUGUCUAUAGGGUAACCCCCAUUUCUCUUGGAGAAACUUUCCAUCGAUCCUUCCUUUUCACGAAGACUCAUUAUAUUCAAGCUCCGAAUCUAAACGAAAGUGAUGACCGCUGGAUCUCUUCACCCCGGUCUGGGGCCAGGCCCAUGACAAUAGCCUAUUACUUAGAGGUCUCCAAGUAACUCACGCAAACUGGCUCCAGACCGCUCAGCCUCGCGACCGGGCUUCAUCUGAAUUUCUCAACCAGGCCGGUCCAGCCCUCACGGCCCAUCGAACAGAUCCUCUCUGAGCUCAGUUUUAACCUUAUCUUUCGGCCCAGCUCGGAACCAGGAAGGAGUUCAGCCCAUUCGCCUUAUGGGACCAUCUGCAUGCGCACUUGGGGAAAAUCAAGGGGCUGUUACGUAUGGGGUAGAAAUCUAAUAUCCUCGUGCGAUCGUAUCAGUAUGACAGAGACAGGUGGCCCAAUGGAAGUCAGGCCGUUACACGUCACUGACAGACAAUGGAAACAGAUAAAAGGAAGAAACAUUAUCUUCUCUAGGGGGGCUUUUUGGCUAAGUUUACAGAACCCUUGUAAAACCCUAUUUUACUGGAUCUCAGAUCAUCAAGUGGCACCGUUUGUGGGAACGAAGGAGAUCUUUUCAUCGCUGGAGUUCCACUCUUGCAAUACCCACUGAGAUCCACGAUGGCUAACAACAAUGAAAACAGCACCAUUAACACUCCCAAUGACUUGAACUAUAUCAAAGAGGGGCAGCAGUUCUCUUUUUCCAGUCCUACAAUCCCAAACAACCAAACAACAAUCCCCGUCAACCCUUCGCCAAGCCGGACAGGGAAUGUGCCUGCCGCUGCCUUGUCCAACCAAGACCUCCAAACCAUCGCCCUUCAAUUACAAAACACCGCCCGCUGGCUGGGGCAAAUGAUGCAACAACGGGGCCUCAGUACCCCAAUAAAUGUGUUGCCGGUGGUAGAAGAGCCCCGGACCAAUGAACCUCAGCCUACCUUUAACCAUCUCCAAACCGUCAGCCAAGAAACCGGAGACGGGGGGAGAAGAGCCGGGGAAGAGGAAGAGCCGAAAGCUCGAGUUCAGGGAAGGAGGAUGAGGGAGCUGAUAGAGAAUGAUGAAGUCAAUAGUUAUUCUGCCGGAAAAACCGAAAGAGCGGGGAGUGAGACAUGGGAGGAGGAAUGUCGCGCGGAGAAAAGGCCCAGGCAGGAAGAAGAGAGCGUAGAUCAAAAGCUGCAGAAGAUGAGAAAGCAGCUUUUGGCUGAGUUAGGGGCGAAGGACCCCAGCCAAACUCUUCACCCUUCUCAAAGUGGGUGCAGCAGGAGACCGUCCCAAAGAAAUUUAUGAUGCCACCUAUGGAGGCGUACGACGGAGCUAGAAACCCCCAGGAGCACGUCUUGAACUACAAGACUUUCAUGGAGCUGCAGACUUUGUCAGAUGCCUUAAUGUGCAAGGUAUUCUCGACGACACUCUCGGGGCCAGCACGGGCAUGGUUCAACAGCCUUGAGACUGGAAGCAUCAGAAGCUUUGGAGAUCUGGCCACUCGCUUCAUUAGCCGGUUCAUUACCGGGGUGCCUAUAGACGGAAAGAUGAGUUAUCUAGAAACAGUCAGGCAGAGAAGGGAUGAAUCGCUCAAGGAGUACGUUGCCCGUUUCAAUAUGGAGGCCUUGCAGAUUCCCGAGCUGGAUGAGGGUAGAGCAGUGGAGGCUAUGCAGAAAGGGACGACAUCGCCCGAGUUCUUUGGCUCGUUGAGCAGGAAACCUCCUACCUCACUGGCCGAGCUGAUGAAGAGAGUAGAGAAGUACAUAAGGCAGGAUGAUGCCUUGGUAACAAGCAUAUUUGUCAGGGGAGCGACGGAUAAGGGGAAAGCCCCGGAGGAAAGGAGGCCGGAGAGGCACGAGAAGAAGCACGGCAAGAAAUCUGAACCUUACAGACAACCAUGGGAGAGAAGGGACCAAAGACCCCUUCCUCCUCGGGUCUCAGAGCAGAAUCCACUCCCUCCGUGGGUUCCAGAGAAGCCGACCCCACUCAAUACCUCUAGAGCCGAAGUGCUCAUGGCCGUCCAAGACAAAGAGUUCCUACAAUGGCCUAGACCUAUGAGAACUGAAGCAGAUCAACGAAAUCCUGAAAAAUACUAUCAGUAUCACCGCACACACGGCCAUGAUACCAAUAACUGCUUUCAGUUGAUUGCAGAAAUCGAGAGGCUGAUAAAGAGAGGACACCUCAAGAACUUUGUGAAGCAACCGGAGGGACAGAGGCCUCAGCCUAACCCAGCAGCCCAAGCGCUGAGGAGAAUGGGAGCCGGACCGGUGAAUGAUGGGUCCAGUGGGACCAUCAACAUGAUUGUUGGAGGCACAGGAGGUCAGAUGAGCUGAAGGGGGAAGAAGAGGAGCCGAGAUGGGGAAAGUAACAAUACCAAAGUCAUGCAGGUCGUCAAACACUCUCCAAUGGCUAUCACUUUCUCUCCGGAGGACGCUCAGGGAAAGAAGCAUGAAGGUGGGAGAUCUGGUAUGAAGGUGGGAGAUCUGGCCCUGAGAAACCUAGAAGCUACAGGGAAAAGAGCGACAGUAGGCAAGUUGGCACCGACCUGAGAGGGCCCAUUCAAAAUAACAAAAGCAACAGGCCAGGGGUAUAUCGAGUUGAAGAUAUGCAGGGAAACCCUGAGCCCCAUGCCUGGAAUAUCCAGCACUUGAAAAGGUACUUCCCCUGAGGUAUUAUCAAAUGUAAAAACUUAUCGUAUUUUAAAGCAUGAUAAUAAAAGUGACAUUGAUUACCAUCCCAAUUUAUUAUUUGUCUUUACUCACCUUGCUUUCAUGAAAGAAACAAAAAAAAAAUGAAAAAAUGAAAAAUGAUGGUGAAUGAAACAAGAAACCGAACUGAGACAUAGAGACCUUAGGGAGGUAGAAGACCGGGAUCCCCAAGAUCUCCCAGAGCAACAAGUCCAAGAUCUCCAAGAUCUCCUGGCAUAACCGAACUAAGACAUAGAGACCUCAUGGAGGUAGAAGACCGGGAUCCCCAAGAUCUCCAGAAGCAACAAGUCCAGGAUCCCCAAGAUCUCUUGGCAUAAUCGAACUGAGACAUAGAGACCUCAGGGAGGUAGAAGACCGGGAUCCCCAAGAUCUCUCGGAGCAACAAGUCCAGGAUCCCCAAGAUCUCCUGGCAUAACCGAACUGAGACAUAGAGACCUCAGGGAGGUAGAAGUCCGGGAUCCCCAAGAUCUCCCGGAGCAACAAGUCCAGGAUCCCCAAGAUCUCCUGGCAUAACCGAACUGAGACAUAGAGACCUCAGAGAGGUAGAAGACCGGGAUCCCCAAGAUCUCUCAAAGCAACAAGUCCAGGAUCCCCAAGAUCUCCUAGCAUAACCGAAUUGAGACAUAGAGACCUCAGGGAGGUGAAAGACCGGGACUCCCAAGAUCUCCCGGAGCAAAAACGGCCGGUGAGAUCCCCAAGAUCUCCCAAAGCAAAGCUAGACCUCGACCUCCCCAAGGAGUUCAGGUCCUAAGAUAAAGAGACUCAGAUCUCAUACGACAACCAAAGGAGGCAAAGCGCCAUACCGACCUCAAGAAUAUACUAAAGCAGAUAUAAAGAGUCUAAAUCCGAACUCGGAUUAUAGGCUAAUAAGACACCGACCCCAAAGAUUGAUUGAUGGCACUAAACCAGCUCGGCUAAUCUAGAAGAAGAUCUAAGCAACAAAGAACCCAGCCAGGACAUACCCAAAAACUGAAUCAUCAGGUGAAGGACAACAAGAGGCCAAAAGGGCCGACCUGAAGAAACGGACUCGGACAACUAGGCAAAAGAGAACCGAGCUCAAAAAGCUCAAAGGCAAACUGAAGGCAACAAGCCUCCUAUGAUCCGAGAGGAAAUUCAGUGGCAUGAGCUAAAGGCCCCAGCUGUAAUACCCGGCUAGAGUCUGGCAUCGGAAUUCCUGUAGUCCAGUGGAAUUUAAGAUGUCGGAAUCCGCUAGGAGGGUAAGGGUUAUGUUUUUAUAUGUUUUUUAAGAGUUUUUAAUGUUUGAAUUUUUGAAAAAACACCAAGGAAGAAAAGCCAAGGUUCGGCCGCCGAAGGUGACUUUCUGCCGCCGAACUUGCAUGGCUUUCGGGUUUCACGUUUGGCCGCCGAAGGUGGUCUGGCCAGCCACCUAUAAAAGGCCCUAGGUCGGUCAAAUGGAUAAGAUUUUCUUUCCAUCUGCAUGAGCUGAGGUGAGACCAUGAUCUUCCUUGGGUGAUCCUCAUGUUUUCUCAAAUCUUUCAAGGGUUUGAUAAGUUUUAUGUUUGUUUUGAAGUUUUGAGCAAAAGAGCUAAGUUUGGAAGCUUGGAGACUUUGAGAGAGGAUUUCUCCAUAUCUCCACGUUGGGAUCAUUUAUUCUCUUGUUUGGAAGAGGUAAGUGAAGAUCCUGAACUUCCUUUCUUGAUUUUUAAAGGUUUUAUGGGAGUUUAUGGUAUAUAUGCAUGUGAAGGGUUAGUUGAGGUUUUUGGUGAUUUUUGUGUAUAAGCAUGUUUAAGUGUUGUGUUAUGGUUGUUGGGGUUAUAAGUUAGUUUUAGACCCCUUUGUGCAUAUACAAAAGUAUAUGUUUGUUGAGGAGUUGUGUGUUGCAUGUUGAGUGAAGUUUGGGGGCAGUUUGCAUGAAGUAGAGCAGGGUUCUGCCCUUCGGGCAAAAACCAGGUUCGGCCGCCGAAGGAAGGUUCGGCCGCCGAAUGUGCUAAGGAGGUGGUUUCGGCUGCCUAAGCUUGCUUCCGAAAAUUGGGACUUUCGUCUCUGGAGGCAAGGUUCGGCCGCCGAAAGUGCCGCCGAAAGCACCCGAGUUUCGUCUCUGGACGAGACUUUCGGCUGCCGAAGGUGCCGCCGAACAUACAUGAGUUUCGUCUCUGGAGGGGGGUUUCGGCCGCCGAACCUGCCGCCGAAAGUGCCCUGUCCAGCCUUCUCUUGCAUGUUUUAUGUGAUAGUUUUAAGAUGUUUUAGAGGGCUUUUGGGGAGUUUCUUAGAGAUGUUCUUGAGUUAGUUUGGUCCCUCAUUUGAGUCCACCUGUGUAGGAACGGACUAGAGGAACCAGGGAGAUCUGCAGUAAGCACUGCUUCAGAACCUGCAAAGUCAGUUCAGAGGCAACCAGAGGUGAGUGGAACUAAACGUAACUAUUUUAAUAUGAGAAAUCAAAUGCUUUUAGCAUGUUUCAUGCAUCAUGACCAUGUUAUAGGCUGAUUGCAUUAGAAUACACGAAUAUGUUGCAUUGCAUACUUUGUUGUUGAUGUGGGUGAAUGCUGGAUGAUCCAAUAGUCCCUAAGAGCUAGGUGCCUACCUCUACGCCCUGGCAUAGAUGAGAAAGGUCGGGUGCCUACCUCUACGCCUUGACAUAGAUAGAAAGACCAGGUGCCUACCUCUACACUCUGGCACGGUAUAUGGUAAGUAAUGAUAUGAUGUGACAGACAAACCAGUGGCCUACCUCUACGCCCUGGUACAUAUAUGAUGCUGGGACUAGUUGGUGACAGGUUUACCCUUGAUGUGGCUUGUUUGUGAUGUGAUGCAUUCCAUGAGAUCAUGUUUUAAUAACAUGUUUUAUAGUUCUGCUCACUGGGCUAGUAUAGCUCAUCCCUCUCCCUUAACCCGAGUCUUGCAAGUUCAGAGUCCAGAGGUCUACAACAGGGUACAUACAAAGAAAAGAGUUAUGUAAUAGCUAGUGUGGACAUGUAAUUCUAAAAGAUAGUUAUGUUGUACAGUGUAUAGCAUGGUGCUUGACAUAUAGGAGUUGUAAUCCUUUUGUAUACAUGAUCUUUUAUGGAAAUGUUUUACUUUAUGUAAAUGAAAAUCCAGGCUUAACAUAGUAUGAGUUUGACCCGCGUAGAGCAAAGAUGAGAGCUCUAGCAGGGGUUUUAUAGUACAAAGUUUAUGCUUGAACAGGUUAAGCCUUGGAGCAGAGAAAAGUUUUCAAUUUUUACAGAAAAUGUAUGAUCAUGUAUGGGAUUUCACAGGUACACAGAGUUCACAGCAGGCUUGCUACGGGUCCCGGCGGCCUUAAGCCAAACUGGAUCCUAGCGCCGGUAGUAGUUCGGUUUCCGGGCUGUUACACCAGCCUCAAUUCUUAUCAGAACAUAAUUAAAAAUAAAAGGCCAGCCUUGCUCAUCACCUUAAAAGGUACAUGAUCUGACUUAUUGUUACUCUGCAAAGGCUAUGUGCCCGAGACCAUAGUAAUAAAGUAACAAGAGAAAAAUGAGGAUGCCUUUGCAGAAAUCAUAAAAACUCAUAAGUUGAAAGUUCAACCCACUAUUAAAAACUGAGUUCACGGGUAAGGCUAGUCUAGCUCGGAAAGAACGUAAAAUAGGAAUACCUUAGUGAAAUAGAUAAAUUUAUAAGUUAAAAGUUCAGUCAAUUGAUAGAAUUUUAGUUCUGAUGGGCUUGAAGGCAAAAAGGAAAAAAUAGUAUAGUGGAAAAAUUACGAAGCAUAUAGUCUAAGUAUUUCAUUCCUGACAAGAUAGAAUAAGUAGCCCAGUGAAGCUGAAAAAGCAAGCAAAAUAAAAGAAAAGUAAAUUUCAUUAAAAGAAAAAUAUAUUACAGCCUAUUCUAAUUAUCUACACGAGAUGGAGGAAAAACAGUCCUUAGGGGACUUACAUGCCUAGGGGCAUUAUCAUCUACACUAUCCCCUACAUUAUCUACAUUUACAUUAUUUACAUUGCUGUCCAUGGGAGGCCCAGCAUCCUCCUGGUCAGACCCCUCAGUGCCCAAGAAAGUCACGAUCUCCUGCCCUUGAGGCCCAGCAUCUUCAUCUUCUAGCUCGGGUUCUACCCCAGAAGACCCGACUGUGGCGCGAGAGGCCCCCUUGAGCAAGGGCCUGUCGUCCUCCCCAUAAAGCACCUCCUCGCCAUCAGAGUCUACCUCCACGGCUCGAAGUUUAGCUAACGGGGCGGAGGGAGUAUAUCUGGCUGUCCUUAAGCCUCGGUUGUAUCCGGAGACGAACAUGCGGAAGCUCUUAUUCCAUAUGGCAGUUUUCAUUUCAUCAGAGCCUUGGAACUCCGCAAGUCACUUCUCACAGGCCUCAGCUACCUUGGCUUUAAAUUCAGAAGAACUCUUAUAAUCCUGGAGGCGAGCUUCACAGGCCUGCUCGAUCUCUUUUUUCAGCUCGGGGGACUCCUUAUACUCCAUCAGGCGUCUCUCACACUCGAGUUGGAUCCUGUCUUCAACGAGUCUAGCAUCCUCGAGCAGGGCUGAGCAUCUGUGCUGCAAAGUCUUGAUCUCAUGACGGAGCGCUUGAUUGUGAAGUUCAGACUCCUCUGCCGCUGAGGCCAGAUCUCUGAUACGGUCAGAACUCUUACUCAGCUCCUGCUCGAGAACCUCAACCUGAGCUAAGGCUCCUUCUAUUUGAAUUUUCACCUUGGCAAGAUGAGCCUGAGCUCCAUCGAAAUCAGCCUUCAGGGCCUCGUACUGACGCUGAACCUCAUCUCUCUGGCGAACAGCCUCGUCCUUUUCACGAAGGGCCUUUACCAUGGAGGACAGCUGCUUCAAGACUUCUUCACAGUGAACCUCAGCUGUAGCUGCCCUCUCGUUAGAUUCUUUGAGAACCCUCCGGGUGUGAGACAACUCCACUUCCAGGGACUUGGCAUGCUCAUGGGCCGCGGCUAGGUUGCUCCGAGCAUCGCUAGUUGCCGACAAGUUCUCCUCGAGACGCCCCUCCCCAAUAUGACGGUCCACGAAGUCCCUAAGAGCACGAUCCCGGGCAUCCAUCUCCAUAAAAAUGACUGUUGUCUGGCCAAAGAGAAGAACAAAUAUAAUCAGAAAGAGAACAUGGGUAGAAAUCAAUUAAAAUAGAGAAGAAAUGAGGGUGGAAUACCAUCAAGAGCAGCUCACGGGCAGUGUCCCCAAGCCGAUCUCUAGAUUGAGCACGGAAGGCCACCUAUUCUCGAGUAGAGCUAGCCAAAAGGCCAGAGAGAGCCAACAGGCGAGGAUCUGAAGCCUCUGCAACUCCACCAAACAUCCGCUCUAGAAUUAUCUCCGCGACCACGCUCGCUAGUGAUUGAUGGGUGAUGUCCUCUGCGUUAAGAAUAUCAUUAUCAGGGGCAGAGAGUAGCGACACCACCGAGGUCUUCUUCUUCUCGAGCGGAGGCAGAGCUGGGGCAACAUGUCUGGAGGCCCGAGGUCUCUUUGGAACUGGGGCAGUAGCGUCAGAGAGAGAAGGACGCUUGCUCCCAACCCCCUUAGCGAUGCCCUCCGAGGCAACCAAUGACUUCCCCUGAGGGAGAACUUCAUCCGCAGGCUCAGACUCAGCCCUCUCGAUGACAGGAGGGCCCUCAACAGCAACUUCUUGAUCAUCCUCGUCUACAAGGACGACCUCCACUCCUCCUUUCGGAGCCCUCUCUUCAAUAACGGAGACCUCCGGCCUCACCGUGAGAACCUCUUCUUCAGCGAAGGGAGCCUCAAACCUCACUUCUGGAGCUUCCUCAGAAGGAAAGGUAGGAUCCGACCUCGCCGGCCUAGUGUCCUCUGCCAGAUCAGAAAUGAUCCUGGGAGUUUCUUCUGUCCCCUUGUUAGAGGCACGUCGAGGCCGAGCUGCUUGAGAGGACUGAUGAGCCGAGCUCGAUCUGCUGCGGCGGGAGGGUCAAGACGACUUACUAUGUUGGGAGCUUGGCUUAGGAGCUUGUGAGGAGACCGGAUGGGGAGGAGGUCGGGUAAUCGACUUGGAAGAAAUAACCUUUGCCACCCUUUGAGUAGCCUCCCUCACGGAUUGCCCAGCCAAGAGGGCAUCCAGGGCAGCGUCCAUGCUCUCCCGGGACAGUAUGAGAUUCUUGGGAGGCUUGAUCUGAUCCAUCUUUACCUUAGAGGCUGCAAAAUUAAAAAUCAGAGCAACUCAGAACAGUUCUCAGCAAAGAUCACGUAAGCGAAAACUAAAGCAGGCAAAUAGGAUAGGAUACCCGCAUCCUUAAUAUCCCGAAGAUUGGACGCGAACAAGCAUUUUUCGACGUCAUACUUCUUCUCCAUAGAAGUCAGUCGAAGAAAUCCGACCUGGUCGGUGAGGCUCAACUGGGGCAGGUCGUUGCAACCCAGAGAGACAUCCUCCCAGGGGAGAUUGAGCUCCCAAGCCAACCCCGUCUGCUUCUUCAAUUCUACCACUAGAAACCCCUUUACCCAGCCCUUGAUGGAGUCCUUAUAGUCCGUAAAAAUAGAUAACCCUCCGCGAGGGGCAAAGUAGUAAAAUUUCUGGCUCGCUUUGACCAGCCUGAAGAAGCUGACGAACAGGUGAACCGUGGGUGUGAACCCCCAGCUUAGACACACAGAUUCAAAGCAAGACAUGAAAAGAACUGCUUGCUUGGUUAGCCAUGGUGGAUCUUAAUGGGUUUAUGUUUGAAAAACUCUAGUUGAUUGGAUAAUCUUCCUUCGUUUCCCGCAGAUGGCACCAAUUGAUAUGUUUGAGAUCUGGUGAGGUAAGGAGAUAUAGACACGUAGGCAAGGAGACAUAGACACGUAGGCAAGGGUUUGAUUUAUGGGGAAGUUAAUGGCUCUAAAUGGGUGGUGUGAGAGUUAAUAAGGCUGAAGAAUAUGGUUCGUGGAGGCUGAGAUUAUAAGGUGGGAUCUAGAGUUUUCUAUAUUGGUAGUCGUUGAAAAAUCUGUUCCCAAAGGGGAUUGGUCCAGGGGCAUUUAUACCCCAGUCAUGCUAGGGCGUUCUGACAGCCGUUCUUUUGAAUUGAACAAUGACAUGUCGUGGCAGGUAUGUUAAGCGGCUCAUUAAUGGCGGGUAAUCGGCUAAUAAAUGCUGAGCCGCUUGGCCCAUACUCUGUCCAUCACGCAUGUCAUUUAUGUCAGUCCUACAACACGUGUAAUUAUGGCCCUAGCGAGAUCUAGAGUACUUUAAAGAGGUCAGUCUACUUGCUCCGAACACUGGUAAGGUUGGCUUACUUGCUUCGGGUAUAAAUAAGAUCAGAGAUAUAGGAGGUUUGACCUGUAUAUUAAAUAGGUCAGAUUUCCUAAUGUUUGAUCAGACCGAAUGACCUGAUGCGAGAGACUCUCCUCUUUCUCUUGUACCCAUAUCGCUAUCUUAAGGGGAUCUGUUAUUAUUAUGUUAUCAAUACUAAAAUGGUAACCUAUCACACUUAUAAAUACAUUUUAAUAGCCUUAUAUUGUUUUACUGUAUAAAUACUUUGUUCUCUGUAAAAUUUACUAUAAACAUUUACUUCGACAGAAAAUAUGUUACAGUUAUCAGAAAUUAAUGAAAAAUUAUAUAAAGUACCCGGCAGAGCAAAGAUGUCUUGUUGAUCCAUUAUCUCCUUGGAGAGCUUAUUUCCUUUAAGAACUUCAAUUAUCUGUAUGACAUAUUCAUAAAAUUUUUAACUUUUAAAUUAUAUAUAUAAAUAAAAGUAAACUUGCUAAACUUUUAAGAGAAGAGAUAAAGAAUGUAUUUCUCACCCUUAAUUCAAGAGUAUACAGUAGCUUAUAUAUACGGUUCUGUUCCUAUAACUAAGGGAAUACAAAAUACAAACACACUUAAAUAAGAUAUGUACAGCUAAUACUCAGUAAGAUACUUAUUAAUAGAACGGAACUCCCCACCCCAAUCAGAUUGGAAGCUUUGCAUUUUAGUAUCAAAUUGGCGCUCUACCAGGGUGUGAAACUGAACAAACACAGAAUAGACAUCACUCUUCCUUUUAACUGGAAACAGCCAACAAAAGCGGGAAAAUUCAUCAACAAAUAAUGCAAAAUAGCGAUCUCCAUUAAAUGAUAACUCAGGAGCUGGGCCCCAGACAUCCCCAUGUACAAGUUCCAAAGGCUUAGUUGCAACAGAACCAGUGGGUGAUAAAGACAAUUGUGUAUGUUUUCCUAAGCAACAAGCCUCACAAAGUUGAGAUGUUUGCUUUAUUGAAGGACUAGACAAACUAAAUUGAGAAAUAAUAAAAGAAACAGUUGAGUGCUGAGGAUGACCCAAACGUGAGUGCCAAUCUGGUGGAGUACUACGAAUGGAAUUGAAAGCCCUUCUCUGUGAAACUAGUGGUAACGAAAACUUGUAUACCCCAUCUUCAGCUGGCCCUCUAAACAAUACGUGUUUACUUGGCUUGUGCUUCACAACAAACCCAUCAGAGUCAAAUUUAAAAGAACAAUGAUUAUCAAUAGCAAACUGAUUAACAGACAGCAACUGAUUUUGCAUAGAAGGAACAUGUAGAAUGUUAUUCAAUUUAAGCUGAGCAUGAGGAGUAGAAACAAAACGAUUCCCAAUAUGCUUAAUAGACAAACCAGAACCAUUACCUACAGUAACCUUGUCCGGUCCCGUAUACUCAUCUGAAAUAUCAAGCGCGGCCAAGUCUGGUGUCAUAUGAUGAGACGCAGCUGUAUCUGCAAACCAGGUGUUAGAGUCUUGAGAAACAUGAGUAGUGGCAGUAUUUGCAGUAAUCUUUUCUGUAUCCUGGUCAUAUCGUUUCCUACACCAUUUUGCUUGAUGAUUAUUUAAUCCGCAAAUUUGACACGGAUUAGGAUACCAGCGUUUAGAACCACCAGAAGAUCUAUUAGAACCAGAGUUGCCAAAGUUACGAUUAGAACCACGUUGUGACUGAGAUUGACGUGACCCAUUGUUGGUUUGCCUANNNNNNNNNNNNNNNNNNNNNNNNNNNNNNNNNNNNNNNNNNNNNNNNNNNNNNNNNNNNNNNNNNNNNNNNNNNNNNNNNNNNNNNNNNNNNNNNNNNNNNNNNNNNNNNNNNNNNNNNNNNNNNNNNNNNNNNNNNNNNNNNNNNNNNNNNNNNNNNNNNNNNNNNNNNNNNNNNNNNNNNNNNNNNNNNNNNNNNNNNNNNNNNNNNNNNNNNNNNNNNNNNNNNNNNNNNNNNNNNNNNNNNNNNNNNNNNNNNNNNNNNNNNNNNNNNNNNNNNNNNNNNNNNNNNNNNNNNNNNNNNNNNNNNNNNNNNNNNNNNNNNNNNNNNNNNNNNNNNNNNNNNNNNNNNNNNNNNNNNNNNNNNNNNNNNNNNNNNNNNNNNNNNNNNNNNNNNNNNNNNNNNNNNNNNNNNNNNNNNNNNNNNNNNNNNNNNNNNNNNNNNNNNNNNNNNNNNNNNNNNNNNNNNNNNNNNNNNNNNNNNNNNNNNNNNNNNNNNNNNNNUGCCGAUUAAGAUUAUAACACUUGAUAAUUGGGAGAAAUUGGGUUUUCCAAGCUAGGUAAUUGGUUUCCUUCAAUUUUAAAGAAAAUGAAAGCUGAGCAUGUGGUGGUGUGGAGAAUAGGCUUGAGGUUUGAAGGGAAAUAGAAGGAGACGGUGAAGAAGAAAGUACAGGAGCACUGGAAUCAGUUGAUUGGGGAGAUGUUGUCAUUAUAGGAUAGAAUGCUCUGAUACCAUAAGAGAAGAGAUAAAGAAUGUAUUUCUCACCCUUAAUUCAAGAGUAUACAGUAGCUUAUAUAUACGGUUCUGUUCCUAUAACUAAGGGAAUACAAAAUACAAACACACUUAAAUAAGAUAUGUACAGCUAAUACUAUCUUAACAGAACUUAUCAUUAACAACUUUGUUACCAAUUUUUUUGGUAAAUUAAAGUUUAGUUAUUUGUUUUUAAAAAAAGUAAAAUUUAGAUGAAAAUGAAACAAUUUUUAAAAUUAAGAAAAAACAAUCGAAUAAAAAUAACUUCAAAACAGCUGAAGCAUUAUAAAUUAUAGCAUAUACAAAAUUAGAGCUAAAAUAUAAAUAAAAAAAAAUUAAGUGCUAAAAAAUAAAAUAACGACAUCUUACCAGCCACGUGUACAAGCUCUUAAUUACCUGUUUUAUUUUUGGUCUAAAGGAUGAAAGUUUAUAUACGGAAGCAGCAGCACAGUAAACCAUUCUCAUCAUUUCUUCUAUAUUAUACUCUUUCAAAUUGGGAUCAACAAUACUUCUACAGUCAUUAUCGUUCAAAACUCGUCCAAUUCUGCUUUUAGCCUGAAUGUUUAUGAGUUAAAGUAUUUGUUAAUAACUUCUUUUUAGCACAAUCUAUAGUUAAAUCAAUAUAUGAAUUAGUGUCUUACCCAUUCAAUAAUUGUAAUAUUGUUUUGUGUAGGCUUUCUUCCAGAAAUCAAUUCUAAAAGUAUAACACCAAAAGCAUAAACAUCCAAUGCAUACGAAACUUUUUGUUUAUCACCAAAUUCUGUAUCUGCAUAACUACAGUUAAAAGGUUAAAAGUUUUUCUUUGCAAGUAAAAAAAUGUUUACUAGAUAUAUAAACCUUCAAAAUUAGUAUUUUUUUAUGAUUAUUUUAUUUUAUAUUUUUAUUUAACUUUUCAAAGUUUGUAAAAGAAAAUAUUCAAAAUAAAGAAUAACAGUGACAUAAUUAAAUUUGACUAUUAAAUUAAUAAUGAAUAGAUACAAUAUAAAUAAAUUCUUAAAAUAAACCUAUUUAUUAAUUAUGAAUUCAAAACAUAUGAACAUGAAUUUUAUAUAAUUUUUCAUCAAGAAUUCACAAUUUUUGAAUUUACGUACACUUUUUUCCAUAAAUAUAUCUAUAUAUAUCUUACACAUUAGUUCCCCUGAAUAUACUGGUGAUGUGGCCAACAUUACCACUGUCCGGCAAAAAAUUUGAAAGUGAAAAAUCUGCAACCUGAAUCAAGGAUUUAUGUAAAUUAGCGGUUUUUUUAAAAUAAAAUUUAUUAUAAGGGAAUACAAUAAAUUUAGAUAAUUUUUAUCCAUAAUUACAGAACUUUGAAUGUCUCGUUUCUAGCAUUUAAUUUUAAAUUUAUUUCAAUAAAAUUAUUCUAUUUUAAUUUUAUUUUAGAAUAAAGCACUCAAACAUAUUAUAAUAAGUCGCUGAGGUGCCAACCCCAUCUAUUUUCUUCGUCCUUUUAAUUUUUUUUGUUUAAUUAAUUGAUAAUUAUUUUAAAUUAAAAAAAUUAAUAAAUGAUUUAUUAAAAAGAUUAUUUUAUUUUAAUAAAUUUAUUAUUAAAUCAUAUAAAAUUAUAUGAUAUAUUUAUUAUUUAAUUUAAUUUAAUUAUUUACAUUUAAAUUCCGAAUUCAAAAAAUAAAAUAAAAUAAGAGUUUAAAAAAUUAUAAAUAAUACUAAAUAAUUAUAAUUAGUUAUAAUUAUAAAUAAUACUAAAUUUUAUAAAUAAUACUAAAUUUUUGUGAAUUAAUUUUUUUUUCAUGCAAACAAUACAUUAUAAGGCUAAAGAUGGCAAUGGUUACAAAAGUUGGGACAACUCUAAGAAAUUAUACAGAAACCAGCCCGAAGGCAAUAAAUUUUGUAAAGAAAGUUUAGCAGCUAAAUCCGCAAAACGAUUAAUUGCACCAGACACACGAAAAAACUUGAAACGCAAAAAUUUAGAACAAAAAUAAAAAAUAGCCAAUACGGUAGAACUAAUGUCCUAAGGAAGAGAGGGAUGAUUACCACUAAGAGCUGCAUAAAGAAUAGAAUCUAAAAAUAAAGAAUAGCCAAUACGGUAGAACUAAUAUUCUAAGGAAGAGAGGGAUGAUUACCACUAAGAGCUGCAUGAAGAAUAGAAAAAUUUGUCUCACACUUAAUAGCCCGAUAACCUACAUCCAAUGCCCAUAAAACACACUCCAGAACAGCUCGAGCUUCACCAACACCAACAUACAAACAUCAGAGUUUUUUUAGCAAAGCCAAAAAGAACAGUGCUCGUACUGUCAGAUGCAAUAACAACUAUAGCAGCAAAAAAAAAAAAACUAAGCUACAUCGCAAUUAAGUUUAACAACACUAGAAAGGGGAGGGUGCCAGGCUAAAUUUGGGGCACUCUCGAGAAGGCGGCCGACAAAGAGGAAUGAUAAGAAAAAAUGCUACUAAACUGAAAUUGAUGAAGAUCAUAAGAAAUCUGACGAGAAAUAGAGCGAGAAUUAGGCUGCAACCUGUUGAAAACAUAAUUAUUCCUUGCUUUUCAUAUAUGCCAUAACAUGACAAUAACCACCGUCAGGAGAUAAAGGCUAGAAGAAUAUAAAAGUGAAGAGUUCAACAAAUCCGCCCACCACUGGACAAAAGUAGAAAACCCAGUAGUAGAAGGUUGAUAGCCAGAUAGGCUGAGAAACUAAACUAUUCCAGAAAAAUUACAAAAGAAAAAUAAAUGUUCAAUAGUCUCAAAAGGGGAAUGACAGACUGGGCAAAGAGAGGAAGGCCUGAAUGUCAAUGGAGCAAAAAUUGGCAAAUACAAGUAAAGCCUCAUAAAAACCACACCAAAGAAAGAUACGUAACUUAGGGUGGCCUGAGUAGUCCAAAUACUUUUCCAUAUAUGGCUAGACAAAUGCAAAGAGCAAUCAGAAGGAUAAGCAUGGUUCAUCAGGAGACGAUAACUGAUUAACCACGGUUCAUCAGGAGACGAUAACUUGACCGAACUGUGUACUGCCAAUUGGACGUAAAAUGCCAAACCCAAGAAUCAGCUAUACCAAGUGGAGCAACCGGAAUGGCCAAGAUAAUAGGGACAAGAGGAGCAUCAAAGAGCAGAUGUACCAGUCAUUAAGGCCAAGUUAAAGAAUGAUGAUCGAUUAAGUCAGCCAGCUUAGUGAUGUUAGGAGAGUAAAAAGUUGGCUGUGGAGCAAAAAAUUGGGAUGUCAAAGGAAUCCAAGGAUCAGACCAGAAAGAAGUGGACAGACCAUCACCAAUAUUCAAGCGAGUACCAAGGCGAAGGACAUCGUGACCUGCAAGAAAGCUUUGCCACAUCCAAGAACUUCCUUGCUUAGAAGACAUAUACCAGAAGGAUGAUCGAGAAAAGUAAAUACCCUUGAGGAUGUUUGUUUUUUUUUUUAAAUAAAAUUUAUCAUAAGGGAAUACAAUAAAUUUAGAUCAUUUUUAUCCAUAAUUACAGAACUUUGAAUGUCUCGUUUCUAGCAUUUAAAUUUAAAUUUAUUUCACUAAAAUUAUUCUAUUUUAGAAUAAAUCUCUCAAACAUAUUAUAAUAAGUCGCUGAGGUGCCAACCCCAUCUAUUUUCUUCGUCUUUUUAAUUCUUUUGUUUGAUUAAUUGAUAAUUAUUAAAUUAAAAAAUUAAUAAAUGAUUUAUUAAUAAGAUUAUUUUAUUUUAAUAAAUUUAUUAUUAAAUCAUUAUUUUAAUAAAUUUAUUAUUAAAUCAUAUAAUAUUAUAUGAUAUAUUUAUUAUUUAAUUUAAUUUAAUUAUUUACAUUUAAAUUCCGAAUUCAAAAAAUAAAAUAAAAUAAGAGUUUAAAAAAUUAUAAUUAAGUAUAAUUAAAGGAUUAAUGAUUAACUUAAUUUAUUAGAACUUUUUCGAUAACUAACUAGACAAUAGAAAAAUUCAAUUCUCAAAAUGAAAUAUAAAGCUUAAUUUUAAGAAUAAAUGAUAAAAUAUUUGAUAAAAUAAAAUUAACAAACAUCUUCAUUAUUAACGAUGGAAUUUUAUAAAUAAUACUAAAUUUUUGUGAAUUAGUUUUUUUUUUUUUUUUUGCCAUGCAAACAAUACAUUAUAAGGCCAAAGGUGGCAAUGGUUACAAAAGUUGUGGUAAUUUUGAGAAACUAUACAAAAACCAGUUCGAAGGCAAUAAAUUUCGUAAAGAAAGUUUAGCAGCCAAAUCUGCAAAACGAUUAACUGCACGAGACACGUGAGAGAACUUGAAAUGGAAAAAUUUAGAACGAAAAUGAAGAAUAGCUAAUACGGUGGAACUAAUAUCCCAAGGAAGAGAGGGUUGAAUACCUCUAAGAGCUGCAUGAAGAAUGGAAGAAUCUGCCUCACACUCAAUAGCCUAAUAACCUACAUCCAAUGCCCAUAAGACACUCUCCAGAAUAGUCCGAGCUUCACCAGCACCAACAGAUGUACACAAGAGUUUUUUAGUAAAGGCAAAAAGAACAAUGCCCAUACUGUCAUAUGCAAUAACAGUCAUAGUAGCCAAAGAAAACUUAUUAUUCUAAGCUACAUCGCAAUUAAGUUUAACAACAUUAGAAGGGGAGGAUGCUAUGCCAAAUUUGGAGCACUCUCGAGGAGGCGACCGACGAAGAGGAACGAUCAGAAAAAAUGCCACUAAGCUGAAAUUGAUGAAGAUCAUAUGAAAUUUGGCGAGAAAUAGCGUGAGAAUUAGGUUGCAACCUAUUAAAAACAUAAUUAUUCCUUGCUUUCCAUAUAAGUCAUAAUGUGACAAUAACCACCGUUAGGAGAUAAGGGCCAGAAGAAUAUAAAAGCAAAGAGUUCAACAAAUAUGCCCACCAUUAAACAAAAGUAGGAAAACCAGCAGUAGAAGGUUGAUAGCUAGAUAGGCUGAGAAACCAAACUACUCUAGAAAAAUUACAAAAGAAAAAUAAAUGUUCAAUGGUCUUAGAAUGGAAAUGACACACUAGGCAAAGAGAGGAAGGCACUAAAUAUCGAUGGAGCGAAAAUUGGCAAAUACAGGUAAAGCCUCAUAAAAACAACGCUAAAGAAAGAUACGUAACUUAGGGUGACCUGAGCAGUCCAAAUACUUUUCCAUAUAUGGAUAGACAAAUGCAAAGAGCGAUCAGAAGCAUGAGCAUGAUUCAUCAGGAGACGAUAACCUGACCAAACUGUGUAUUGCCCAUUGGACAUAAAAUGCCAAACCCAUAAAUCAGCUAUACCAAGUGGAGCAACUGGAAUGACUAAGAUAAUAGAGACAAGAGGAGCAUCAAAGAGAAGAUGUACCAGUCGUUGAUGCCAAGUUAAAGAAAGAUGAUCGAUCAAGUCAACCACCUUAGUGAUGUUAGGAGAGCAAAAAGUAGGGUGUGGAGCAAAAAACUGGGAUGUCAAAGGAAUUCAAGGAUCAGAACAGAGAGAAGUGGACAGACCAUCACCAAUAUUCAAGUGAGUACUAAGGCAAAGAACAUCGCGGCCUGCAAGAAAGCUUUACCACAUCCAAGAACUUCCUCGCUUAGGAGACGCGUGCCAGAAGGAUGAGCAAGGAAAGUAAAUACCAUUGAGUAGACGGGCCCACAAACUAUCCUGGUUAUGAAACAAUUGCCAACACUGUUUUGCCAAACAAGCAAGAUUAAAAUUUUUAAAAUCCCAGCCAAGUCCACCAAUAAACUUUGAAGUACAAGACCGUUGCCGACUAAUCCAGUGCAUUUUAUGGCUAUGGACAUCAUUUCCCCUCCCAAAGUUAGAAAGCAAACUGUUUAGUUUGGACGACACUUGUUUAGGAAACAAGAAAAUGGACAUUGAGUAGGAAGGAAUAACAAAUAACAUAAAUUGAACCAUAGCAGCACAACCAGCCUGAGAGAGCAAUUUAUGUUUCCAAGAUUGAGUUUUCAAUCGAACUCUAUCCAAAACAAAUGAGAGAACCUAUUAACAAGAUCGACCUAAGAGAACUGGAAGGCCCAAAUAUUGACAAGACAAAGAAAUCUCUCGCAUUCCAAACUAUCGUAAAAUAGCACCUUUGAGAUUGGGAGGCGUAUGUUUACUAAAGCAAAGAUGGGACUUCUGAUAGUUAAUACCAAAAAGAGUACUUGUUUCUUGUCGAGAAGCACAGACAAAUAAUAAAGUAUCAUUAGCGAAAAGAACAUCAAGACUUGGAGGAUCAAAACGAGCUACCUUAAUACCCUUGAUAAGCCCAUUAGCAUGUGCUUAAGAUAAUAAGAGAGCAACUGUGAUACAAACAAAAACAAAUAAGGAGAUAACAGAUCCCCUGUCUAAUACCGCGGGAAAGCUGAAAGGGGUAGUAGGAACACCAUUAACUAAAACUAAAAAACUAAUUGUAGUAACACAUUGCAUGAUCAUUUAAAUCGAAUGGGAAGCAAAACCCAUCUGAGUGAGGACUUUCUAGAGAAAAAUCCAAUCCACUUGAUCAUAGGCCUUAUGCAUGUCCAAUUUCAAAACGAAGGAGUGAAGUUUGCUGGUUGACGUGCGAAGAUGGUGGAAAACCUCAUGUGCAAUUAAAAUAUUAUCCUGAAUUGCCCGAGAUAGAAUAAAAGCAGCCUGAUCUGGUGGGAUUAACAUAGAAAUCGAUGAUUUCAGCCGAUUAACCAUUGCUUAAAAAUGACCUUGUAAGCAAAAUUACAAAGGCUGAUAGGUUGAAACUGAUGAACACCAAUUGGGCUAUGACACUUUGGGAUAAGGACAAUAUUAGUUAUGUUCAUCUCAUGAAGCAAAAAACCAAUCUCAUAAAAGCGUCAAACUGCCAAACAUAACGAAGGCCUGAUAAAAAAUACCAGAGAAGCCAUUCAGGCCGAGAGCCUUGUCACCUCCUAAUUGAAAAAUAACUUGUUGAAUCUCUGCAUACAGGUCUUAGUAAGGCCUCAUUAAUAGCCAACAUAACCAAAGUAGGUACAACAGCGAGAACAUGAUCACAAUGCAGCAAAGAACCAACAGUAAAAAGUCUACAUAAGUAAUUACGAACAAAAGGCCUACGAACGAAAUCUUGCUCAAGCCAGGAACUAGACUCAUCCUGAAGUCAGACAAUGUGGUUGUACUGAUGACGGUGGAGUAUAGAGACAUGAAAAAAUGUGGUAUUGUGAUCCCCUUCUUUGAGCCAUUGAAUGUGGGAAUGUUGAUGCCAAUGUCAUUCCUCACUUUACAGCAAAGAGUGAAGCUGAGAUAAAAAAGACGCUUCAAUAUGAGCAUUGGAACUAGCGAAAGACUGAUUGUACAACACCUGCAACUGUCUUUGUAAAUUAUGUGCCUGAGUAACUGCAUUUUGAAAAACCUUAUGAUGCCAGGAACUUAAGCAAGAUUUACAAGAUUGCAGGCGAGGCAUCAGCAAAAACAUGGCUGAACCAUGAGAGGUAGUGUUCCAUGCCUGCUGAAUUACUUGAGAACAUUGAGGGUGUAAUAGCCACUUACUUUCAAAAUGAAAGACAAAGGAUCGCCUCAGUGGACCACCUGAAAGAGAUAACAACAGAGGCUGAUGGUUAGAGGCAAGCAAAUCCUCGUGGAGCAAUUGAGCUCGAGGGAAACUCACGAGCCAAUCAGGUGAAACCAAUGCACGAUCUAGACGUUGUUGAAUAGCUCAUUCCAAAUCUUUUGUUAAACCAAGUAUAAGAGGGACCUUUAUAAGGAAGAUCAAGUAAAGCACACGAACGUAUAAAAGCCUCAAAUUCUGCCAUUUGGGAUGAAUGAACAGAACAACCACCAAGCUUAUCCUCCUGACCACGGAUAGCAUUAAAAUCAUCGAUACAGCACUAAGGGAGAGAAGAAGAAGUGGACAAACGCAACAAAUCAUUCCACAGAAAAUUUUGAGAACUUAGAACAGAAUAACCAUAAACAAAAGUAAGAUACCAUUGGAUAUUAGUAGUAUCCACUUGUACAAUACAAUCAAUAAGAUAUUGGGUAACCAAGGAAGGGGAGAAAGAGAAAGGCUCAUUCCACCAAAGAGAUAAACCUCCUGCCCUACCCACCGAUUCUACAAAAAGAGAAAAAGAAAAACCACACCAUUGCUGCAAUCGCUGCAUAUAUGUACACUGUUGUUUAGUUUCCAUAAGGAAAACUAUGGACGGCUUGUAUUCACAUACAAGCCCCUGUAGAGCUGUAACCGUCAAUGAUUUACCAAGUCCGUAACAGUUCCAAACCAAUAACGUCAUGGGAUCGCAAGUGGCUCAAGGCUAGCCACCAUAGCCUCAGAAGAACUAACCGCACAGGUAGAAGUAAUAAUAGCAUCAGAGAACAAAGCACUCAGACGAGAAGCUGGAAUAACCGCAAUGUCCCGAAGACGUCACUGCCAAGAGCAAGGACGGACAGAUCCAAAGGAUCAAGGAGAGCAAAAUCCAAAGCCCUAUACUAUCAUGAUUGGAUGUAAAGAUGCUGAAAAAGCUGGGCGACGAUCCAUAAGCGAAAUAGAGCCUAUACCAUACUAGGUGGAUCACAGAAAUCAAGAUCACCAAAAUGUCAUUUCGGUCCUAUCAAACCAAUUGAAAAAGACUACGGCACCUCGUCUCGCACGGAUAGUCUUUUCCUUGCAGGUCCACUAACUCCGUAAAAGGUCCACUAGCUUUACACAGUUUAUGAUCUAAACUGACCAAAAUAACUUUUAAACCCAUUUUCUUCUUGUUCAAAAUGAUUAAUCUAAGUUAAUUAAUAGUUUUUGCUAGCUAUUCAUAAACCAAUCAAUUUUUUGAUAGACAAUCGAUGUGGCAUGCUACACAGCCGCAAUGAAAGCAGAAGAAAGGCAGAGUUUCAUAACGAACUAAUACUCAAACCUUGCUUGAACCAGAUUUAAAAUAAAAGCUAGAAACUAAUGAUUGAGAAACUUGAAAACGAAUCCGGAUGCAAAAAUAAAGCCUUCCCACGUCCAACUCAUCGGAUGAAGAAAUAGAGAUUAAACCAUCAAACAACGAAGCUAUGCGCUGAGCAUUAGCAUGCAUCCAUGUGUGUGGGGACAAACCAUACAGAGGAAUCCAGAAUUCCAUGGUAUAAAACUCAACCGCAUGGAUAGAGACGUCAGGGGACCAUCGUUGAAAAAGUAGAAGAUUACUGUCGAGAUUCCAAGGACCAUCCUUGUUGCAUGUAAUCUUGCACGCCUAAAGAUCAGCCCAAGAACGUGUCCACUUCAACCCAGAUUCUGUUACAACAGCAACUGGAACUGCAGCAACCAAAAAUACAUGGACGUGGCAUGAAAUCAGGAUCAAUCUUAAUGUAGUUUUUUUAUUUUAUUUAUUUAUUUAUUUUUUCAAUUAGCCAAACUAAUCUGUCUAUUUAAGAGGUGUAUCUAAGUAUCUCCAUGAAUUAAUUGUGUGUUCUUUUUCCAUCAGAAGUAUCUCUUUGGGCUCUAUCCUCUGUUUCUUAUCUUCUCCCCAGAAAAACCAGCAAACCCAGUUUUGCUCAGUUCUGAGUUUUAUACCAGCAAACACAGUUGCUCUGUUCUUAGUUUUAUUUAAAGCCUUACAUUUGGUAUCAGAGCCUUGGACCUAGUUUAUGCCCAAAUACAUGCCACGGCACGAAUCUUCAUCGUCCAGUGCUGUCCGUAGUGGUAACAGCGGCAAUACUGGCCAGACGACAGAAACUGGACAGACGGCAGAAAUGGUAGUGAGAGCGCCCGUAAGAGAAGGGGGUAUCUCUCUGCAGUACCCGCUGUUAACAAAAACGAAUUACUCAGUGUGGGCAAUCAAAAUGGAGGUAUACAUGCAGGCUCAAGGUGUAUGGGAUGCUGUGGGAUCCGAAGGCCCUGUUGAUCCACGAAUGGAUCGAAUGGCUCUAGCCGCUAUAUUCCAAGGUAUUAGUGAGGAGACACUACUGCAAUUAGGAGCCAAGAAGUCCGCCAAGGAAGCUUGGGACGCGCUGAAAACCAUGAAUCUCGGUGCAGCCCGAGUGAAAGAAGUCAGAGCACAGGCACUCAGAUGGGAGCUCGAAGGUUUACGCAUGGAGGAUAAUGAAUCUGUAGAUGAUUUCACUGGCAGAAUAUCCACCAUUGUGAACAAAUUGCGGGGACUAGGAGAGACCGUUGACGAGGUGUAUGUUGUCAAGAAGAUGCUCCGAACAGUAUCUCCGAAAUACAUCCAGUUAGCUUCGACAAUCGAAGAAUUCAGCGACCUCACAACAAAGACUAUUGAAGAAGUCACUGGUUCGUUGAAGGCUCACGAAGAACGACUAAAAGGUCGAGAUCUCAAAGGUGAUGAACAUGUCUUAUUCACCCGUGGAGAAUGGAAAGCACGAGGUGAAACUUCAGGCACAGGUGGAAAACGAUCAAAAGAUCAAGGGGGAUACCGAGGUCGUGGUCGUGGACAAGGACGAGGCAGAGGCCGCGGAAAUGGCCGUGGCAGAGGUAGAAGUAAAUCUGAAGGAGGCAGAGGCUAUGACAGAGAUGGAAACCAACACCAGAAGUUUGAUAUUAACAAAGUGAGGUGCUAUAAUUGUAACGAUUAUGGUCACUUUGCAUCUGACUGUAAAUCAAAGAAGGAAAAGGAUGAGAGAGCCCAUCUAGUAGAACAAGUCAAUGAGGAACCAACAUUGCUCAUGAUGGAGACAUGCCAGCUAGUCCAUUCAGUUGAAAUGGAUGAAGACAAAGUGCUGUUGAGUGAAGAGAGAUUUGUUCCAAGUCUCGGAUCAGUUAAAGCCGAGCCAGAAGCCAUGAUUUGGUACUAUGAUACCGGGGCAAGUAAUCACAUGACAGGAAACAGCUCAGCCCUCACAAACUUAGAUGAAAGUGUACAAGGAAGAGUACGCUUCGGAGAUGGCUCAGUUAUAGACGUUAAAGGCAGAGGAUCAGUGGUAUUUCAGUGUAAGAAUGGGGAACAUCUUACCAUAACAGAUGUGUAUUACAUCCCCAAGUUAAAGAGCAACAUCAUAAGCCUUGGUCAGCUGGAUGAAUCUGGGGCAAAAAUCAUAGUUGAAGGAGGAUACCUGCGAGCUUAUGAUAUCAAAGGGAAGCUGAUAACAAAGAUUCCAAGAGCAUCAAACAGGUUGUAUUCAAUGAAGAUGAAACAAGUUCAUCCUGUAUGUCUGAUGACAAGCAUAACAGAAGAGGCUUGGCUCUGGCAUGCCCGGUAUGGUCAUUUGAACUUCUCUGCAUUGAAGAAACUCGCACAAGAGAACCUGGUUGUGGGACUACCGGAACUUGAUCAGGUGAAUCAAGUAUGCGACGGAUGUUUAAUCAGCAAGCAACAUCGCAUGAAGUUCCCGAAAACAUCAAAAUAUCGAGCUGACAAACCUCUGGAAUUGAUACACGGAGACAUAUGCGGGCCAAUCUCUCCAACAACACACGGUGGGAACAGAUAUUUCCUGCUACUGGUUGAUGAUUACAGUAGAUUCAUGUGGAUAGAGAUGCUGAAAAACAAAGGUGAUGCAUUAGAAGCCUUUAAGAAGGUGAAAAUGGAGAUAGAGGUCCAAUCUGAAAGAAGGAUCAAGAGCUUUAGAACGGAUCGAGGAGGAGAGUUCACUUCGAAUGAAUUCAAUAAAUUCUGUGAAAAGCACGGUAUAGCACGACAGCUUACUGCCCCAUACUCACCUCAACAGAAUGGUGUUGUUGAGAGAAGAAAUCAAACAGUGGUGGAGAUGAUCAGGUGUCUAUUAAGCAGUAAGAACGUACCAGCAACCUAUUGGGGUGAAGCGGCUCGGACUACAGUAUACAUUCUAAAUCGUUCAGUCACUGAGAGUGUCAAGGGAAUGACUCCUUAUCAAGCAUGGUACGGGAAGCCACCGAAAGUGCAUCAUUUACGUGUUUUUGGGUGCACUGCAUAUGCAAAGAUUACUGGUACACAUCUCAGAAAGCUAGAUGAUAGAAGCAUCAAGUUAGUCAUGCUUGGCUAUGAACCGGGUUCUAAGGCGUACAGGCUUGUAAAUCCAGAGACAAACCAAAUAAUCAUAAGCCGUGAUGUGGUGUUUAAAGAAGGAGAAAGCUGGAACUGGGAGAAUCAGAAGAUAAGCUCAAGACACAGCGUAGAUAAUUCCUUGACAAUCACCUAUUCACAUAAUGCAGAACGGAAGAGCGCUACGCAGACACCAGGUACACCUCAUUCACUUGCAAGUGAAAAUCAUGAGGACACUCAAACUGAAACUGAAACAGAAGAGGACAGCCCCAUGGGACCAAGAAGAUUUCGAUCUCUGCAAGAUAUCUAUGACACAACUCAUGAGGUAGAGCCAGACAUGAGUCUAUACUUUUUGUCAGUAGAAGAACCAGUGUCCUAUGAGGAAGCUGUAGGGAACGAAAAUUGGAGACAGGCCAUGGUUGAGGAAAUAGAUGCCAUAAGGCGAAAUGGCACCUGGGAAUUAGUUGAUCUACCAGAGAAGCAUAGAGCCAUCGGGUUGAAAUGGGUUUUCAAGCUGAAGAAAAAUCCAGAAGGCGAGAUAAUCAAACACAAGGCAAGAUUAGUGGCGAAAGGCUAUGUUCAGAAGAAAGGCUUGGACUUUGACGAGGUCUUUGCCCCUGUUGCACGCCUAGAAACAAUAAGACUGCUCCUAGCAAUUGCGGCACAAGAAGGGUGGAAAGUACAUCAUUUGGACGUGAAAUCUGCAUUCUUGAAUGGAGAAUUAGCGGAGGAGGUUUAUGUGCUACAACCGAUCGGAUUUGUGGAGAAAGGUCAGGAGAAUAAAGUUUUUAAGUUAAAUAAGGCUCUGUAUGGUCUGAGACAAGCUCCAAGAGCUUGGAACUCAAAGCUUGAUCAGUGUCUCCAGGAACUUGGUUUUGACAGAUGCAUCCUUGAACAUGCUGUGUACAAGAAACAGUCAGGAAAGAGUACACUUGUUGUUGGUGUCUAUGUAGACGACCUUAUUGUGAUGGGAUCAGAACCAGAAGAAGUGAAGAGAUUAAAGGAUCAGAUGCAGAGUAUUUUUGAAAUGAGUGAUCUCGGGCUGUUAAGUUACUAUCUAGGGAUUGAAGUCUCUCAAGGGUCUGAGUGUAUUACUCUCAGUCAAGCUGGGUAUGCAGAGAAAAUACUCGGAAAGUUCGGCAUGAUGGACUGUAAACCUUGUCGUGUCCCGAUGGAUUCAAGAACAAAGCUGAGCAAGAAAGAUGAAAGUCCUUUAGUUGACGCUACGCUAUACAGGAGUGCUAUCGGGAGUUUGAGAUACUUAGUGAACACUCGGCCUGAUUUAGCUUACUCUAUUGGCAUCGUAAGUCGGUUCAUGGAGUCUCCGACAUCAAAACACCUGGGGGCUGUAAAACAGAUACUGAGAUACAUCAAAGGAACCUUAAAUUACGGUUGCAGGUAUGUCAAAGAAGAAAGGAAAGAGUUGAGACUGAUUGGUUAUUGUGACAGUGAUUUGGCAGGGGACAUUGAUGAUCGUAAGAGCACGUCGGGAGUAAUUUACUUCCUUGGAAGUAAUCCUGUUACAUGGUUCUCGCAAAAGCAGAAGGUCGUGGCGUUAUCUUCGUGUGAAGCUGANNNNNNNNNNNNNNNNNNNNNNNNNNNNNNNNNNNNNNNNNNNNNNNNNNNNNNNNNNNNNNNNNNNNNNNNNNNNNNNNNNNNNNNNNNNNNNNNNNNNNNNNNNNNNNNNNNNNNNNNNNNNNNNNNNNNNNNNNNNNNNNNNNNNNNNNNNNNNNNNNNNNNNNNNNNNNNNNNNNNNNNNNNNNNNNNNNNNNNNNNNNNNNNNNNNNNNNNNNNNNNNNNNNNNNNNNNNNNNNNNNNNNNNNNNNNNNNNNNNNNNNNNNNNNNNNNNNNNNNNNNNNNNNNNNNNNNNNNNNNNNNNNNNNNNNNNNNNNNNNNNNNNNNNNNNNNNNNNNNNNNNNNNNNNNNNNNNNNNNNNNNNNNNNNNNNNNNNNNNNNNNNNNNNNNNNNNNNNNNNNNNNNNNNNNNNNNNNNNNNNNNNNNNNNNNNNNNNNNNNNNNNNNNNNNNNNNNNNNNNNNNNNNNNNNNNNNNNNNNNNNNNNNNNNNNNNNNNNNNNNNNNNNNNNNNNNNNNNNNNNNNNNNNNNNNNNNNNNNNNNNNNNNNNNNNNNNNNNNNNNNNNNNNNNNNNNNNNNNNNNNNNNNNNNNNNNNNNNNNNNNNNNNNNNNNNNNNNNNNNNNNNNNNNNNNNNNNNNNNNNNNNNNNNNNNNNNNNNNNNNNNNNNNNNNNNNNNNNNNNNNNNNNNNNNNNNNNNNNNNNNNNNNNNNNNNNNNNNNNNNNNNNNNNNNNNNNNNNNNNNNNNNNNNNNNNNNNNNNNNNNNNNNNNNNNNNNNNNNNNNNNNNNNNNNNNNNNNNNNNNNNNNNNNNNNNNNNNNNNNNNNNNNNNNNNNNNNNNNNNNNNNNNNNNNNNNNNNNNNNNNNNNNNNNNNNNNNNNNNNNNNNNNNNNNNNNNNNNNNNNNNNNNNNNNNNNNNNNNNNNNNNNNNNNNNNNNNNNNNNNNNNNNNNNNNNNNNNNNNNNNNNNNNNNNNNNNNNNNNNNNNNNNNNNNNNNNNNNNNNNNNNNNNNNNNNNNNNNNNNNNNNNNNNNNNNNNNNNNNNNNNNNNNNNNNNNNNNNNNNNNNNNNNNACUAAACCAUUGCAGCACUGAAGUCUGCAACACCGCAUGCACUGUUCAUUCACUGUUUUUUCUUUUCAUUUUUUUUUUAUAUAACUCUAUACCACCUAUCAAGGGGUUCUUUGAAUUUUUUUUUUUUGGAUUAUAUUUUUGUGAAUUAGUUAUACAAGCCGUAUGAAAAAAAUAAAACUUUUUUUAGUUCAAUACUAACUAAAUAUUAUUAUUUUUAAAACAAAAUUUUGUCACUAAUUUGAAUAAUGAAAAGUUAUAUUUUCAAUAUUAAUUAUUAAGUAUUUUAAAUAUAGAAUUGAACUAGUUAUGAGUUUGAGACAUUAAUAAAAGUAAGUAUUUACUAAUUAAAUAAAAAUAAAUUAAAAUCUUAAAAUUAAUUUAUUGUCUAAGUUUAGUUUUCAUUAAUUUGCUUAAUAAAAUUUAAAAUAAUAAUAAUGAAUUGAGUAAAAAAUAGUAAGUAAAUUAUUUAUUAAAUUUAUUGAAUUAAAAUUUUAUUUAAAAUAAAAUAAUUUUAUUAAAAAAUAAUUUUAAUUUCUUUGAAUGUAAAAAUGAGAGUGAUGAUCCAAAAUGAUUAAUUUAAUUAACAAUAAUUAAAUUUUAUUAUUAUCAAGCUAAUUAUCCAAAAAAAAUCCUAAUAACAUGUUAAUAGUUGAUACUUAAUUUUAGCUAAUUAUAAUUUUUAAAAUUUUAAAUUGUAAAAUGCAAUUGAAAUUUUAAAUUCAAAUUCAAAGUUAAAUAGCAAAUAUAUCAUAUAAUUGAUUGAAGAAUUUAUUAAUAAGUUUAUUAAAAAAAUUAAUAUUAUUAAUUAAUGAAAUGUAAAAGAUGUAAGAAAGGAAAGAGAGUGUGGAUAGAAUGGUUAUUAACCUAAAAACCUAUUUUAACGGGUUAGGGUGAUUUAAAAAAAAAUAAAAUUAAAUAAUUUUAUUGAAAUAAAUUAAAAUUAAAUGAUAAAAAUAAAAUAAGACUUAAAAUUUAAGUGACUACAGAUGAAAUUACUCAUAAGUUUAUUAAUUUAUAUUCAAACUCACCUUUACAUUAAAGUUAUUAUCAAGAAGAAUAUUAUCUGAUUUCAUAUCUCGAUGUAUAAUGGUCCGUUCACUUGAUAUACAAUAAUUUUAAAAAAAUAAUUAAUAAUAUUAAAAAGAAAUAAAAGAAGAAGUUAAUCUUAGAAAGCAGUAAAAUUACUCACAGCUUUCAUGUAAAUGUAGCAAUCCAUUUGCAGUUUGUAAGGCAAUUUUCAUUCUCGUUCGCCAAUCCAAAGUAUUAUGGUCAUCUGUUGAAAACACAAAUAAUACUCAAAAUAUAUAUAUAUAUUUUUGAAUAAUUGAUUUGAGUUUCUACGUAAUUAAGAGUAAAAGGACUCACGGUGUAGAUGGUGUGUCAAGGUCUUGUUGGGAACAAACUCUAAAACAAGCAAUCUAUUCAAUCCCUCACUGCAGUAACCAGUCAUCUUAACAAUGUUUGGAUGAUCCACACAUGUAAGGAACUCACUCUCCUCUAAUUUAUUUAAUUUAUCUUCAGGGUAUAUUCUUUUAAGUUUCUUUACAGCAACAUCUUUACCAUCUAAGAAUGCCCUGUAGACCAGUCCAAAACCACCCUCGCCAAGGAGAUAGUUAUCGUUGAAACCUUCAGUUGCAACUCGUAAUUCGUCGAAAGUAUAUUUCUUCAUCUGAUGUCUUUGAGCAUUCUCAGAUGUAAUCGACUGGUGAAGUGGCGCAGCAGCUAAUGUGGAUCUAUCAUCUGAAAAAAUGCCACAAUUAGUUACUUCUAAUAGGAAAUGAAAUGGAUUCCUUCAUGGAAUGAAUCCUCAUAUAUUGAAAGAAAAAAAAAAACGUCAGUUUAAUGAUGGGAAAAAAAAAAUCAUAGAUUUACAACUCAAGAGGCUCUUUAGCUAUAACUAAAACAAUACCUGUGUCAGUUUGGCAGCGAUCUGCCUCAGAAGAGGGCUGGCAGCAGCAUAAAAAAAGUUGCAGAGUCUCUGCAGUUUUCCCCAUGGUGACAAAUAUGCUGGCCGGAGAAGCUUAUACUCCUAUAUUCUAAUAGGUUGAGCAAGAGGGAGGCCGGGUGGGUCUGAAGGUUGACUUUUUUUCAUUUGUGGUCUUUUUUUCUUUUUUUUUAAAUGAUUGUUAACUCUGAGAGUUUUUUUUUUUUUCCCAAAUGAAAACAAAACUUUUUUUUUUGAAUGCAAACCAAUCUUCUAUCUUCUAAUACAAGGCUGAAACAUUAGGAAAAUUUUUACCUUUUAAAUGUUUUACUUAUUAAUUUUAUUAAUUAAUGCAACAAAGACAAAAUCAAGGAAUUAGUAUUUGAUAAUAAUUAAUAAAUAGAUUUAAUCUAGUAGUAAGUGCAUCUAAGUAAAUUUCAGAGAUUUCAAGUUUUACUCUACAAUUUCCGAGUCUCAUUUCAAAAAAGGAAAAAAGAAAAAAAGUAAAAUGGUUAAAUCGAUAGAACUAUAUAUAAGUACAUUCUUUUCAAAUAAAAACAUAAGAACGAGUAUUGUCUCAAUUUCUAUAUUUCGAUUAAGUUUUUUUCUGAUUAAAUCAUUUUAUUACAUCUUUUUAUUAUGGUAUUAAAUAUAAGAUUAUUUAUUUUUAUGGUGCCAAAAUUUAAUAUUAAAUAUUACAUUAGAUUAGCAUAAAAAUCAUUUAUGAAAUAAUAAUAAUAAUAAUAAUAAUAAUAAUAAUAAUAAUAAUAAUAAUAAUAAAAGAAGAAAGAAAAAUAUUCAAUGAAUGCUAAACACGGAUGUUUAGCAUGCCUUAAAAGUACUUUUACCAUUACAGCAAACUAUGCGGGAUUAUAUAUAUAUUCAGGUACUUACACAAUCAAAUAUUUCCCUAAAGACACCUUUGCACCCUAAAUCCUUGGGUGUCACAAAUCAUUUUGAUCUUUGAUAUUAUAGGAUAGGUCAUUAUUUUGAUAUUUGGUAUUAUAGGAUAGGUCAUCCCUCGAUAUUUAGAAUAAAAAUAAAUCCUUCGCAAAAUCUACUUGAUAUUAUAUUUAUAGAAAAUGUAUAUUAUUAUGCAUUUGCUAAAUAAAAAGCAUUGCAAUUUUCUGUAAGCACUUCUAAAUUCGACGCAACAUUUGACCUUAUAUAUGUUGAUAUUUGAGGACUAAAAUCUGUACUUGCUAUCAAUAAUCAUAAAUACUUUUUUACCAUAAUUAAUGUUUUUACUAUACAUUUGUUGAGUUUUAAAUCUCAAACUAGAGAAUGUUUUUGCAGUCAUUCUUUACCUUAGUUGAGACUCAGAUUUUAAAUCACAAUCAGAAAAUGAGAAGUGAUAAUGGAAUUGAGUUCUACAUGCCUGCCUUCAUUGAUUGAAAAAGCACAAUUUACAAAAUCUCCUAUGUUGAGACACCUCAGCAAAAUGAUACUGUAAAAAGAAAAUAAAUAUAUUGAAUGUGGUUAGAGUUAGGGCUGUACAAUCGGCCGGUUCGGUUCCGAACCGAACUGAACUGAAAAAAUUGAAAAUUAAAUUGUAAAAAUAUUGAAAACCGAAAAAUCGAUUAUGAAAAUAUAAUCAAAUCAAACCUAAUCGAUAAAAAUCAGUUCGGUUCUGUUAUUUCAAACCGAAAUCUGUAAAUUUUUUUUAGUUUUUUGCUUCUAAUUUUAGGAGAACAAUUCAGUAAGUAUUUCAUAUAAAUUUACCAAUUAAUAUUAUCUGAAUACAUAAUGAUAAUAUUUAAAAAGUCCAUAUAAAAUUUAAAAGUACGUAUAAAAUCAGAAUUUCACAUAAUAAAUUCAUCAUAACAUAUAAGCCCAGUGGCAAUCAAAUGGCCGCCUGUGGCAGCGACCAGAUUGGACAAAUUGAAGCAAGCUCUGGCGACGGACAAAGUUCAAGGAUUGCAGCGGCGCUACGUGGAACCAAAAGAGAAUGAGGCACAAAUGCCUCAACUGAUAGUGGAGGUAUUUUAGGGUUGGAAAGGUCAAAUGACCUUUCUAUCCCUACCAUUUUAAAUAAUUGUGUUGGCCAUGUUAAUAAUGUACAUAAUACUAGUGGUUGGAUAUUUGAUUCCAGAGCCCCAAACACUAUGACCAAUGAUCCUUCAGAUAUUAUUUCCCAAACUCCACCCACCAAAUCCAAUAUCUUAAACGCUACCGGUGGCUCAUUCUCAAUCAUCAGUGGUGGUAUCGUUUCUAUAACCCCACUUUAAAUGUCUCCAACUGCCUCUAUGUACCCACCUUAUCUUGCAAAUUACUCUCCGUCAGUCAAAUCACCAAGCAGUUAAAUUGCAAAGUACUCAUAUAUCCUUAUUUUUGUGUUUUGCAGGAUAUUUAUACGGACACGAUACUGGGUCAUAGUUCUGAGAAAGAUGGAUUGUACUAUGUGGAGGAGGUCUCGAGCACGGGUCAGUUCAGUUAGCUCAAGGGUCUUCAACCCGAUAGUUGUAACUCUGGCACCGGCGCUUUGAACAUCCCUCAAGUGAAUACCUUCAUGCUUUGUUUCCUGAAUUUAAAUCCAUUGAUAUCCUUGUUUGUUCUUCAUAUGUACUUGCUAAAAGUCAUAAGAGUACUUAUCAUAUUUUCGCAAAUAAAUCUGAUACUCCAUUCUCAAUAAUGCACUCUAAUGUAUGGGGCCUGCCCUAAAAACUGUUUCUCAUGAUUAUAGAUACUUUGUUACUUUUAUUAAUGAUUGCACUCAUGUUACUUGGAUCUACUUGUUGAAACAUAAAUACGAAGUGGCUGAAGAAUUUUGCAACUUUUUUCGCAUGAUUAAAACCCAAUUUCACAGCACCAUUCAAGUCUUCCAGUCUGACAAUGGGGGGGAAAAUUUGUCAAUAAUCAUCUUCAAACCUUUUUUCGGGACAAUGGAAUCAUUCACCAAACUACUUGUCCAUAUACCCCACAGCAAAAUGGGGUCAUCGAAUGAAAAAAUCGACACAUCCUUAAAACCACCCAAGCCUUAUUGUUUGAAGCCGGGUUCCUUCUAAGUUUUGGUCCGAAGCAGUUGUUACUUCUAUUUACCUCAUAAAUAGACUCUCAUCUCGGGUCCUUAAUUUCCGAUCUCCAUUGCAUACCUUGUCUUCUCAUCACACCAUCCUUUCCCAUUUAAACCUUUCACAUUCCUAAAUCACAUUGCACUAAACUUGAUCCAUGUGCUCUUAAGUGUGUGUUCUUCAGUUAUGGUGUCCAUAAAAAGGGCUAUUGAUGUUUUGACCCAAUCUCUAAACGGCUCUUCACCACUAUGGACUGCACUUUUCUUGAAGACAAGUAUUUUUUCUCCUCACUAAUUGGCAAUAAGGGGAAGAAUAUAGCAGAACCACCACUUCCAAGUUAGCUUAGCUAUCCUUAGGGAGAGUCAGAAAAUCCUUAAGGGGAGUUAGAGACUGUCCAUCCACUUUCUCUUACUGAGUCUACACCAGAACUUGGAGACAUUGAUCAUCUAGUACAGUCAUCAAUCUCAACGCUACAACCAGAGCCUGCCACCGUAGAAUAUCCUAAGGAAUACGCCACUAAGGUAUAUGAACUUGAACCCUCUCCUUCCUCUAAUAACUUUACCACUGAACCCAUCUCCCUUGAGUCUCCUGAAACAGGCCACUAUGUACUACCCCCUCGAAGUAACAGAGGAGUUCCACCUAGGAGGUAUGAUCCAUAAUUCGAGGCAGCUAGAUCUAAGUAUCCUGUGGCAAAUAUUACUAGAGGAGAGAAUCUAUCACCUCAGUUUAUCACACUACAAAAAAAUAUUUGCUUAGAAUGGAUACCAAAGGAUGUCAUAGAGGCCCAGAAGGACAAGAGAUGGAUUGAAGCAAUGGAGAUCGAGAUGGAUGCCUUGGAGAAAAAUAAAACCUAGGAGAAAUGCUGGCUACCCAAGGGAAAACGACCAAUGGGAUGCAAAUGAGUAUUUACUAUAAAGUAUAAGCCAGAUGGAACGGUGGAUAGAUAUAAAACCCGAUUGGUAGCAAAAGGAUACACUCAGACCUAUGGAGUCGACUACUCUGAAACGUUCUCUCCAGUAGCAAAAAUUGAUACAAUGGGUCCUAUUCUCUCUUGCUGCAAACCUAGACUGGCCACUUCACCAAUUUGAUGUGAAGAAUGCUUUCCUGCACGGUGGCCUAAAAGAGAAAGUUUACAUGGAUGCUCCACAAAGGUUCAUGAGUGGAUAUAGACGGGGAGAAGUGUGUCGAUUAAGGCGAGCCUUGUAUGGGUUGAAACAAUCUCCCAGAGCAUGGUUUGAGAGAUUUACUCAAGCAAUGAAGAAAUAUGGAUAUCGACAGAGUAACUCCGAUCACACCCUGUUCUUGAAGAGACGAGGAAGAAAAAUCACGUGUUUGAUUAUAUACGUGGACGACAUGAUUAUAACAAGAGACAAUAUGGACGAGAUCAAACGGUUGAGGGAUAACUUAUUCUAAGAAUUUGAGAUGAAAGACCAGGGGGGUUAAAAUACUUCCUUGGGAUUGAAGUUCUCAAGUCAGACCAGGGAAUCCUGAUAUCACAGAGAAAAUACAUCAUUGAUCUGUUAGCCGAAACAGGAAUGAUAGACUGCAAGCCGGUUGAUACUCCAGUAAUGGUCAAUCAUGAGUUGAGCAAAGAUUCAGAAGAAGGACCAGCAGAUAGGGGGAGGUACCAGAGACUAGUAAGAAAGCUGAUUUACUUAUCACACACCAGACCAGACGUGGUGUAUGUUGUGAGUUUAGUAAGUCAGUUCAUGCACGAUCCAAGACAAGACCAUAUGGAGGCAGCAUUGAGGAUCGUUCGAUAUCUGAAAGGAACUGCUGGGAUGGGCAUGUUGUUCAAGAAGAAUGGUCAUCUCAGUAUCAGUGGAUAUAUGGAUGCUGAUUGGGCAGGAGACCGUUCCGACAGACGAUCCACUUUAGGAUAUUUUACCCUCGUUAGAGGUAACUUGGUGACAUGGAAAAGUAAGAAGCAAAAGGUGGUGGCAUUGUCGAGUGUUGAAGGCAGAAUUUAGGGGAAUAGCAAAAGGACUUGCAGAGCUACUAUGGAUCAGAAAGUUGAUGUUUCAGCUUGGAUUUCCAUCAGGGGAUUCAGCUGAACUUCGUUGUGACAACAAGGCAGUAAUCAGUAUUUUCGAAAAUCCUGUUCAACAUGAUCGAACAAAACAUGUUGAAAUAGACUGACAUUUCAUCAAGGAAAAGUUGGACAAUGGUUUGAUAUCAUUACCGUUUGUUUGAUCGAAAGAUCAGUGGGCAGACAUCCUAACUAAAGCAGUUACUGGACGAAUAUUACAUGAAGUUUUGGGCAAGUUGGGCAUGUUGGAUCCACAUGAACCAACUUGAGGGGGAGCGUUGGAAAGAAUAUUCUGCCAUAAUUGUAAUUAAUCAGUGAUUAACAUUACCAUAGUUAGCAUAAUCCUAGCAUGAUUCUAGGCAAUAAUUGAUAGCAUAAUUAUAGGCAUAAUUGAUUAUAUCAUGUACUAUAUAAAUAUUGUAUCCUAUUACACAAAAAGCAAGAAAAUAAAAAAUAUUUUUCUUUCUAUAAUUCUAGAAGCUCAACAAGAUUCCUAUGACGGACUCUGCUUAUGACCCUAAUCUCCUCCUUCAUAAUUGCUUGAGUUUGUUCAUCUGGUUGAUUUUUAAGUUUCUUAACAACAUAGAGUUUAUCAUCUAUCAAUCCCUUAUAGACUUGACCAAAACCACCCUCGUGAAGGAUUACUUUGUUGGAGAAAUGGUCAGUUGCUUUUGCUAGCUGCAUAUAAGUAAAUUGCCUCAACCCACAUCCUUAACUUUAACAUCUAUCAGGAUCUGUACCCGGUGAGUUGUGAGACGGCAACACUGGUGGCAGAGUUCUAGAACCUGAGAAAAAUCACAGCACACCAACUUUUGAGAUCAAUGAUUAAUUCCUUGAUGGACAUAUAAUACAGCGUCGUUUAAAACAAUACCUCUAGUGUCAAGAUCUUCACGUCUCUUGCUCUGGGAGCAACCCAUCAUUCAAGUUGCAGAGCCGCUUAGGCUAACCAAGGAGUGCAGAAGGUUUCUCGUAAGCAUUUAUAAACAAAGAGCAAUUAAAUAGUGAUAUUUUGAGAUCCAAAAAAUAAGGUUUACAGUAUGGUUGUAAGUUUAGCCAGGGAAGAUCACAUCUCUCCUCUUUAUCCCUUUUCCUUUUGUCUGCUAGUGACGUCCAACCACCUCUCUGCUACAGUGCCACCUGUCUCUAUCACUCAGACCCGUACAGAAGAAUGAGUCAGAGCACCCUCCAUGCCAGACAACCAUUUAAUUCCUCCCGGCGCACGUGCUGACAAGGCUGCAAGGUGACUGGACUCACUUCCCUUACCUUCUGUCCUGUCACCGGACUAGGCUUUCCUUGGGUAGGCCCGCGUGCAUAGUCAGUUCGGUUCACUUCACAUCGCAGGGCUCAGUCGCGCGAUGUUGGGCCGAGCCAUAUGGGCUUUAGGCCCGUAUCCUUCUCCAGGGCCUGACCUCGUCCCAUGGUGAGAGAAGCCCGGCGGUCAUCAAUUGCCCCUUUACCUACUCAGCAGUUAUUUUAUGAGUGAUGAGGAGGUAAAUUCCUAGGCCCCCAUUAUGAUCGUGCAGCUCGAGGACGGCUCCUGUCAAAACGUCCUUUCCCUGCCUUUACUCUUUUCAAAUUCAAAAUCCUCAUUUCUCUGCAGACUCUUCUUUUCACUUUACUCUUUGUGCUUAUCCCUUUCAUCUCCUGUAAAAAUCUCUCUGAGGUACGUCUCCUGCUCUCUAAUGGCUGCCCCUAGAAUUCCUGACGUUGCAAAUCUGAGGGCUUGUGUCACCCUUUCUUUUCUUACUAAUUUAUUUUCUCGGGAGUAUUUGGAUACCUCCAUCUAUCGUGUUAGGGCUCCCCUCCAUAAUGAGAAGAUCGUUCUUCUCGUUCCUCUGCCACCGGGUUUGAUCGACCUCCAACAGGAUCGUAGCUUGGUCUUUUUCAUCAAGCAACGCAAUUUUGGUCUGACUUUUCCUUUUUCUCCCUUUUUCAUCGAGAUUUUCCACUAUUUCGGAGUUACUUCUCGCAUGCUCUCACCCAACUCUAUCCUUUACAUGUGCUUCUUCGAGUCCAUCAGUCUGAGCUGGGGCUUUACUCCCUUUGCUGCCCUAUUUUCCACCUUCUUCCGUCUGAGUAGGGCCAGUCAGAGGUUUUAUUAUUUUGCUCCCCGAGGAGGGUUAUCUAUCUUCUCAGAGUAUAAAGAUUCCAUAAAGGAUUGGAUUGGAUUGAAGAUUUUGUGGUGGUGGAGCAAAGGAAGGCUCUGGGAUAAUCUGGGAUAUAGACCUCUCUUGGAGGGAUGUGCCUCCAAGCUGUAAUGACCUUCCUCAGCUGUACCUGUCUGAAGAAAUCUACCUUCUCAAACUGAUCUCUAUUUUUCAGAAAUAUAAUGUUGACAAGUGUAUGUUCGUGUUUAGUUUUCAGAACUGCCGAAAAGCUUAUAUUCGUCUAUUGAUAUAUCUUUUUUUUAUAUUCGUUUCUAACUGUUAGUUGUUUUUAUUUUUCNNNNNNNNNNNNNNNNNNNNNNNNNNNNNNNNNNNNNNNNNNNNNNNNNNNNNNNNNNNNNNNNNNNNNNNNNNNNNNNNNNNNNNNNNNNNNNNNNNNNNNNNNNNNNNNNNNNNNNNNNNNNNNNNNNNNNNNNNNNNNNNNNNNNNNNNNNNNNNNNNNNNNNNNNNNNNNNNNNNNNNNNNNNNNNNNNNNNNNNNNNNNNNNNNNNNNNNNNNNNNNNNNNNNNNNNNNNNNNNNNNNNNNNNNNNNNNNNNNNNNNNNNNNNNNNNNNNNNNNNNNNNNNNNNNNNNNNNNNNNNNNNNNNNNNNNNNNNNNNNNNNAAAUUUUCAAAAUAAUAAAUAAUUUUUAAAAAAAAAACUCGAUUAUUACUGUAUUUUCGUUUGGUGUCUUCAUUGACUUGUAGAAAAUUAUUCCACGAGUCUUCGCCAAUAUAUUAUUUUAUUUUUUUUAAAAAAAUAUAUUUAUAGUUUUAUUAUUGCAUUAAAAAAAAUCAAAAUAAAAGGAGGUGGAUUAAGGUACUAAACUUUUAAACUUAAUUUGAAAGGGGUGUUAGAAGGUUCCAAACUUUUAAACUUAAUUUGGAAGGGGCAUUCAUUACUAAUAAAUGGACAAUGUACACCUAUAAUUAAAAUAAUAUUUAGUAUCAACGAUCUUAAUUAAAAGAUAUUUACAAUCACUAACAAUUAAAUCAAAGAAUGAUUUAACGGUAAAAGCCAAUAAAUUAAUUAUUUCAACAACUGAAAUGGCAUUUGAUUCAAUCAGAACUUGCUGUCAACCUUCACUCUUUAUCUAACUUAAAAUUUCAACAAUAUCAAUAGCUUAUGUGUUUUUUAUUAAAAAGAAACCUGAAUAAUGCCAGGUUUUAGCCGUCACAAACUCUCAAUAUAAAUCACGUACAACGGCACUUAAACCCACAAAACUCAAACUCGAACCGGUAAAUGCAUCCACAUUGACCUUCAUCCAUCAUUCCGGUAGCCGUUGCCAUGAACGUAGAUGGUCUUAACUUGAUGCAGCAACAGCUAAGGAAGAAGCAGUAGCAACAGUCCAAUUUUAUAAGAACCGUAAGACUAUAUGGAAGACUUGAAAGGAAAAUUAAUUUUUAUAUUCUCACAUAAUAGAGUUCUUAUUAAUCCAUAAUGUCCAACAAACCAUGAGUAUUAAUUUAUAUUUAUCAAUAAAUGAUAGAACAAAUAUAGUUAAGAGCCAAACUAUCAAUAAAUUAACACCCGAAUAAAUUCUAUAUCAGACAAAAAAAACAUUAAAUCAAACUAUGCGAUAUUAUUUCGAUAUUUAUAAUAUUUCAUCUUAUUCAAUAACGCCAAUAUUUCACAACACAAUAAUUGAGGCCAAAACAAGUUGGCAGCGACUACUAUAUUAUUAUUUGAAUAUAUGUUACAAUUACGCAAUAUUGAAUGCGUGUUUCUCACGCGUUCUGCCUCUCCGUCAUUUUUAAACGUAAAAUUAUUGAGUAAAUAAAAAUAUUCAAGAUAUCAAAUAAUAAGUUCUUAAUCAACUAAGUAUUACAUAAUUAUAGUUUUGGCUAUUAUAUAAUUUCAUAAUAUCAAUUUUAUAUUUUUAAGAAUAAAAUAAAUUAAUAUCAAAUUAUUAUACUAAAUUCUUGCACAAAAACUAUACAUAAAAAACUAAAAAUUAAAAUUUGAAUUCUAAAUCACUAGGGUAUACUUCAAAAUAACAUAAUAUCUAAAAAAAAUUGGUCAUUAAAAUUAAAAAAUAUAAAAAUUAGAAAUUAGAAAAAUAACAAAGUAAAUAUAUAUCAGGCAAACAUAAAUAUACGUUUUAGUAAAACAAUCUAAAUUUUAUAUGGAGUUGAAAUCACUGGUUUUCUUAUAGUUGCAUAUAAUUGAAACCUAAAAGAAAUGAAAGAGAAAAAAAAUUAUUAUGUAUAGAGGGAUAGCAAAAUUAAUUAUAAAUUGGAAAAAAAAUCUCACACGAUUUGAGAUUAAUGAAUAUAAUUAGGUUAAUAUUUUCAAAUAAUAAUAAAAGAACUUUUUAAAUGUAAGAGUUUGAUAAUAAUUAAUUUUUAAUUGAGAUUUUGUACUUGUUUAAUAGCAACAAAGUAAUUUUAAUACUUCAAUUUAGAUCAUAGCUAAUAAAUUGAUUAUUUAUUAUGAAUACAUAUAUUCCUUAUUUCUAAAACUCAACUUUAUUUAUGAAUUUUAAUUCCGUCAAAUUAAAUUUUUUUAAGAGUAAAUUCUUUUUCUUCAACCUCUUUCUUUUUACUAUUCUAUUUAAAUUUUGUUUAUUUUUAGAAAAUGACUUAUAUAUUUAUAAAAUAAUUUAUUUUUUAUUAUUUAAUUAAUUUAAAAAUAAUAUAUAUAUAUAAAGGUUUAAUAAAAUUUUCAAAAGGCAAAAGAUAGAUUUUAUCUUUUAAAAAUAAAAAAAAAUUAUUUUUUUAAAAUGAAUUAAAUUUUUUUAAUUAAAAAAAUAUUUUUUAUUUAUUAAUUUUUCUAAUGAACACUGCAAAUAUUAGAAAAAUAAAAAUAUUUUACGUGAAACAAACAUAUUUUUAGUUCUAUCCAAUCGUACAAAAUGAGUAUCACCGCAUGUAAUUGAGAUUGCAUAAAUAUCAAUAGAUCUUAAAAAGAGAUUAUGCAACGAUCUUGAAAGAGAUUGAACAUAAACAUCAAACAAAUCUUGAAAGACCAAUGAAACCAUCCCAAUAUUAUAAAAUUCAAUAUAAAGAAGUGGAUGCAUAUUUGUUUAAUGUACUAAAUAAACUAGAAAUAAUUAAUUGAUAAUGACAUUAAUUCAUCCUUUUGAAUAGUUGAAAUCUUGCAUCCUUAAAUCUUUAUUUAAUUUGUUCAUCUGAAUGUCCAAAUUUUAAAAUAUAUAGAGCAAGACCUAACGUCAACUUGGUGGAGUUGUAUAUCCAACCAUAUGCAUGUAAAUCAUAGCAUUAAUUGAUAGGUGGUUUGGCAAUUAUUUUCGAAUAUUGCGUGGAUUUUUGGAUUUUCAAUUGGUUUGUUCUUAUUUCCAAUUAGGUACAGUUUAAUGGUGUCGAUCGGUCGGUAUGAUUGGAUUUUUGGCUACCCAAUAUUUUUAUUUGGAUCUAAACUAUGCUAUUUGGUUAAAUUUAUAUAAUUCAUAGUAAUGUGAACGGGCUAAAUAUGUGUUGGUUUAAUUUCUAUAUAUUUUGAGCUAUGGUCAGAUUGAACUUUUUAAUGCAAUUUUACUAUUGCAUAAUAAAUUCAAAAUGGGAGCUCUUUUGUACGGAAUACUAGAAAAAUGUCCGUGACUACUGAUAUUUUUAGUAAAUAAGUUUGAUUUAUAUUUUUAAUUUAAAUAUUUAAACAUUAAUAAUAUUUUUAAAGUGUUGGUAAUUAUUUUAUAUUUAUUACUUAUUUAUGUCGAUGAAACAUUUUUUCUCUUAAAUUUUUAAUGAAAAUUUCCUGAUAAGUUAUCAUCAUACGGUAUUAAUAUUGAUUAAAUAUAUAUAAUAAUUUAAAUCUAGUUAAAUUAUAUAAUAAUUUUCAUUAGAUUCAAAUAUGUAUAUACUAUUAACAUUAAAAAUUGUGAAAUACUUGUGUGUAUAAACAUAUUAAUUAUAAUCAUUAUGAAUGUUGUUUAAUUUAUAUUGAAUAUGCUUUUUAAAUUUAAGUUAUUUAGAUUAUAUAAAGAAUUAUUUAAAUAAAAAUAAAAAAUUAUUUUAUUAACAAUAAUAAAUAUUAUUAAAAAUAUAAAUAAUUUUUCAAUAAAUUUACGAGGACUUUCAUAAAAUAAUCUUAAUAUUUCUUGUGAAUUUGGGACGAUUUUUAUUAAAAUAAUUUUAAUAUUUUUGAUAAACUUUCAAAGGCUAUAUUUUAUCACCUAAGUUUUCAAUAAAUUAGCGAUAAAUUAGUUAUUAGAUAGAUUCUGCUAACGUUUCAGAUGGAAUGAUCCGUCAAAAAUCUGUCAAAAUAACAAACACCCCUGAAUUCUUAACUUCUAAGUCAAAAAAUCUAAGAUUCUAAAUCACAUUCUUGAAAUGAAAAAUCUGAUGAGAAGCCAAAAAGAGUGUCUUUUACACCAUCAAAGGAUGUCAUCAGAGGUUCAGAUUUAGAAACAGGAUUGUUUCGUCCAAACUUCUAUUCCCUUCCAGAACAUCAAGUAUCUGCAAUUUGCAUGAAAAUAAAGGGUAAGGGUUAGCAAUCCAAAUGACCACAUUGAGAGAAGAACAGAACAUGUCGAGGUCUACGCUGUGGAAUUAUAUUUUUGCAGAAUUACCUGACUCAUUCGUGGCCUACGUUCUGGAUUAUCAUCUACACAAGCUAAAACACAAGCAACCAUUCGACCCAUUUGUUCAGUGUCGUACUUAUUCUGUAAUUUCUUAUCAACAAAAUCGAACUUGUCCUUUCCUUCCAAUGGACUUUGUGAGAGCAGUGGCUUAGCCUGAAUAUUCAUGCAUGAAAUUAAUCAAAAUUAGGAUUGCCAUUAUACACUUAAUUAAGCCGCUAAGCUUCUUGUGUAAUUAAAUUGCAAUUAUAGAAUAGCCUACGUACCCAUUUAACCAUGUUCUUGUGACCACUGAAAUGACCAACUGGUUGUUUCCCGGUAAUCAACUCCAAAAGAAUUACACCAAAGGAAUAAAUGUCAAGCUUAUCAGUCAACUUGCUGGUAGAUUGAUACUCAGGAGCCAUAUAUCUGCAUUUGGAGUUGGAUUAAUAAGUGAAAGUAUAUUCUAACUUUCUUUUAAUUUGUUUCUUCUUCCUAAUCCCAAGUCCCCAAAUGUCUAUCUCAUAGCUUUAAUGCAACAAAAAUUUAGAAAAUCUAUUUACCCGGAAUUUUGCAUAAUUUUGCUGAUAGAGAGAUGAGUAACAGAAUCCGGGAAAAUCUUGGCACUUCCAAAUUCUGCAAGCUGAACAUAAUAUUGAGAUUUAAUUAGUUUAACGGUGUUAAGAUGUCUGCAUAAGUUAAAGCUUCAAAAUAAUUUUUGUUGAAUCUUUUGGCAAAAGCACGUCAAAAUUUAUGCAAAAAUAUUACUGAGCAAAAUUUUAAUGUAUAAUAUUCCUUACCUUUGGUAUAAAUUUAUCAUCCAAAAGAAUGUUAUCGGACUUGACAUACAAAUGUAAAAUUUUGUGUCCACCUGAAAAUAAAACAAUAUCAACAAAAAAUAAUAAAUAAAUAAAUAAAUAUAUAAGCUUCCACACAAAGAAUACGGACUGUCUUCAUGCAUAUAUUUCAAUCCUCUGGCCGCGCCUUUGGCGAUUUCCAUUCUCCUUGUCCACUCUAUAGUUGAUCCUCCAUUUUCUGCAAUAUUAAUGAUACCUUUAAGACCAGUAGAAUCUUUGUUGUUGAAAAUUAAAUUUAUUAAGGUGAAAAAGACUC